rnacentral:lncRNA from 1 species
GAGUCGAGUGUGUACUUUAUCGCACUCGUUCUCUUUUGAGAUGAAUAACUCAUGCUUGAAAAUGCUCGAAUAACAUGACUUGGUAUGCUAAGGUUGCAUACGUCGUUGGAGUGAAUCUCCUCGACUCUCACAUGGUAAAAAUGGGAUAACGGCGAAUGAUGGCCUAUUCAUAUGACAAAUGCCUGUCAAUUAACCGUCACUACUCAACCAUUAACCGUCAACCGUGAACCGUUAACCGUUAACCGUGAACCGUUUACCAACCCACAUGACUACCUAAUUACUUGACUAUUUGCUCACGUGAUUUCCAAUCUACAUGACUAUUCGAUAUCCGUGAAUUACAUGUUCCCAUGAAAUCAACUUGUAUUGCUUACGUGCUUACGUGCUAAGUAUCCACUUGAUUACUUGAUUAUCAUGAAUCACAUGUUAUAUGAAGCUGCCCAUCAUUGUUAGGCGAGUGUGUACUUUACCUCACUCGACCUACUCAAAUGAUGAAUUUUACCUUUUGUCGAAUUACUUGGUUACCUGUGCAUGUUGUAAGCUCUAAGCUGAACUUGGGCCCUGCCCUUGGUUACUGGCCUACUCGAGCCAGGACUGGGCUCGGUCGGGUAGGUUGGAACCCUGGGCCACCGUUUCGGUAUACUCGAGUAUUACCACUGGAGAGAUAAGGUGAUGGCCAGUCAAACCGAGGGGAUCCGGAAGUCAUAAGGUGCAGUUGACCGACAAAGUUCCACUGGAACACCGUAUCCUACAGUAUAUGUUUACCUGGUAUCAUGAUAAUUGUUUCAUGCUAAAAUGCCAAUAUGAAAUCCUGAGCUAUGCCUGUAAUAAGCUCCAAUCACUCGUGAACUAUACAUGCCAAUGUCUUGAACCAUGAUAACUAUCUCAUAAUAAAUGUCUCAUACCAUGAUAAAUGUCUCAAAUUACCCGUACUAUGAUUAUCACCUCAUGAUAACAUGUCAUUGUGUAACCUUGAACCAUGCAUAUGAUAUGCCCAAUCUACUUGAUUUAUUUGAACUGUUAGAGUGUCUUGGAACCUCACUGGGCUGUGUAGCUCAUCCCACGUUGUGGUUUUAUUUUACAGGGUUCGAGACCAAGGGUGCUCGUGAGUAGUACUAGAUUGCUUUCUUUUGAAGACUUUAAGUUAUAUUAUAACGGAUGGCUUUUGUGCCCUUUUUCGUUGGGUUGUAUUUAAGCUUGAAAGCUACAUAGUUGUAAGUGUAAGAUAUUUGAAGUACUUUAAUUAUGUAUUGAAGUUAGUUAAAGUAUUUCGAGCUUUUGAAUAAUGGAUUGUAGUGAGUCCUGGCGAGAGCUGGGCAGGCGUCCUGCGGAUACCCUUUGGUUCGCCUUAGGGAGAAGUGGGGGCGUCACAACUUCUACAUUCCAUUCAUAUAUGAUAAAUCUAAAGUAAAUAUAUUGUUCAUAUAUUUAAGAGUGACUGAUUUAGUGGGUAACAGAUUAGUUUUCUAGUUGUCAAUAAGUGGCUGAUUUAGUGGAUGUUUUGACUAAUCAAGGGUAUAUUAGGAAUAAAAUUAAAUGACACAUUGUAAUACCACAUGAGCUCCCGAGCAUUAUAUAUCGUACGAUGUACACGCCAUUCCUUUAACCGGCAUACUACAAAUUCCUUUCUAUCAUAUUCAACCCAAAUUCAAGUAAAAACGUGACAGCACCAAACCUCGUCUAGGGUUGAUUGGAUGUAAUGCAAAUUGACACUAACGAAACAACGAAAUGUCUAGAAUUGAAGAUAAACCCAUGGUAAGCCAAAAGCAUAGGUUUUGGAGCCAAAUUAACAUUUGACACACUCCGAUUAACACAAUCACAUCAUCUGAAGAAGCAAAUAGAAGUUAAGCUAGCAAAGUAUCAAUGAGUAGUUACAUUGAUUAUGAUCAUGUCAAGAAUCCAAUAUCCUAUAUGACAGUCCAGUAAACUGAACAUAUUCAACAGUAGAAAAUGGAUUAGGCAUAUGAACUCUGAAGUUUGCAACUACUAAAACAGGAUAAAACUUUGCACAGUUGACAAAGCUAAUUUUUUAGACAAUGAAUCACCUAAAUUUGACAUCCUAUUUUAAGUUUUCUUUUCCUUUGUGGGAGGUGGAAAAAGAGCUUUGAAAACCCAAGCAGCCAAUAUUGCCCCAGCAAAGGGGCAAAUCCAAUAGACAUAGAACUGCUCCCAGGUGUUGUGCCUGUUAUUUAUAUACGCCCACCCAAAUGCCUGCAAAAUUAUAACGAAUGUUGUGCCAGUCAUUGAGUGUACAAUUUGCAGGACGAUUUUGAGAGUAUUUAAAAAUGUGACCUUGUCAAAAUGUAUAAAACAAAACAAGAUAAAAGGAAUUAAGAACUAUGCUGAAAGUCCCCAAGCUUUGGCAACUUCACUCUAGUAUUAAACUUCAAAGAGUGCCAAAUUGCAGUUCAAGAUACAGAAGCUCUCUUAAAUGGCUUUUCAUCCAACAACUUCUCAAUCUCUUUUAUAACCAUUGGAUGAAGAAUAGUCUAUAAGUUCCUCCACCUUAAUGAGCCUUACCAAAAGUUGUUCAUAGUAACCCCACCACUGAAUGUGGAAGUUAUGAUGCAGUUUAUAGGCCACAGACGCUUCAUGUCAUGGGGAUUAAACAGGCUUUUAGAAAAAGGAAUUGGAGUGUCAACUUCUAUAUGAACUUGCCCAUUAAAAGAAUAGGAACAGUUGUCUCUCUUUCAGUAGAUGCUUAUAAACAUCUAGAAGCAAUCAAUCAGGUACAUGCAAAGUAAGGAAGAUAAAAAAAAUGGAGUAUGCAGCAAAGAGUUUUUUCAAAAGGGAUUAAAGUUUAUGAUUAAAUUAUACUGAAGGUAGCAAGAUGUAAUCAUAAGCCAGUUUCAAUUCUCUCAGUAUUUCCAAGCCCUGAAUAUCCUGGUUUAAAACUCAAACUCCACAAUGUUUACAGUAUGAUACUUUACAUUUCAUUUAAUAACCAAGAAACACAACACCCAAAUUGCAGCAGGGCUUCUGUCACAAGUUACAUAAACACAAUUACAGAAAUCUAAAAUUCAUAGUUUUCAGAUGCAGCUGCAUUUUCAUGGUUAGAGGAGUCUGAAGAGCAUUGGCAUCUAAAGAUAAAGAACUAGACCAGAAUUUUUUAUCCUAAAGGAACAUAUUUGGUCAUUGAUAGUUUCUCGCUAUCUUCUACAGUUCCAUUAGUUUGAGGCACUCUGGCUAUAUUAUAGUCUAGCUAGUUGUGAAAAUCAGCACACUAGUAAUCCAGAGAUCAAGUUGGAGAACAAAAGCAUUAUGUUGUGGCACCACUAUUUAAAGUAUUUGACAUGGUUCCUCUAAAAGUUCCUUGUUCAGAUGAAAAAAUCAAUUCCAAAUCUGCUAGCUGUCGAAUUUAGACUAAACGAUAGGAAUAAUCAAGUAACAAGACUUACAUUGGCAGGAUUCAUGGAGGGGCCAGUGUAGCUAGAACCUGCAACCACUAAUGCAACAGUUGACAUGGAGAGCAACCAAUUUUUUAAAAGUGGGCUACUAGGUCCCCUCAGGACGAUUAAGAGUACAAGAAAGGUGAUUGUAAACGUCAAAACCCCUUCAGCAAUAGCACCGGUAUGCAAGUCAACCUUCAAAGAAGGUCCUCCCAGCAUGUGUUUAUACUGCACCGGCAUAAACUCCUUAAUAGCAAGAGCACCACCCACUGCACCAGCUGCCUGUCAAAUUAAGAAGUCAGUUUCCAAAAUCAGUUUGAAUCAUCUUAAAAAAUUCCCUCGUACUCUUGUUUAAUAUCAUCAUUAUUCUGAUUCGCCAAUUUUGUUGUUUUUGUCUUUACCAGUGGUCCAUUUGCUUUGCACCUUUUCUUUUUUUUCCCCCCAUUGAAAAUUUUUACUUUUGGGUGAAAAGAACAUACCUUUAACUUCCUGCUUUGGGAACAACUUUUCCAGAAAAUAUCCCCAAAGCUCUCACCCAACAACUAUGCCUAUCCAGUUUCCCCACAAAAGCAAUCAAAACGAGCUUUCACUUUCUGAGCUAGAAAUAUAUAUAUAUAUGCUAUAUAUGUUCCACAAACUCUCUUCCAAAAAAGCAAUAAAUGAAAAACAAAACCCAAGUCAUGCUAACAACUGUUUAAUCAAAAUCCAAUUUCCAUCGUGAUUCGUUUUUUCGGAAUUGCCGGACUAACAUGGGAUUCAAUUAUAACAGAACAAAGCACCAAGUAAUUCAAAUUCUUCAAAUUAAGCAAAGAAAACAAAUACACGAAUAAAUAAAUGAACCUGGGCAGGGAAACGGAGGGCGGCGGAGAAAAGAGAGUUGGAGCCACCAAGACCGACGGCAUGAAAGGCGGCGGUGGCGGUGGGGUUGAAAGUGGCUCCACCGAGGGCAUCACCAAUGAUUGAAAAAACGAACAAGAAAACAAAAACAAGCACCGUGGUGAUGAACAGAGAAGUUAACCACUGGGUCGUAGCCACCCCAAGAGCAGCAGCAAUCAAGGAAGUUAGUACUCCCAAAGAUGAAGCACAAAAAACCCACAUGAAAGUCAACAGCCCAUCAGCAAUUGCUGCCUUUAUCACACCCAUAACUGGAAGAUUCAACUUCUUGGUGAUGGCUUCCUCCUCUUGAUUCCUCUCUGGUUUUUUUCAGCGUUCUAUUGAGAGGAGGAAACGGAAGAAAGAGAUUACGUGAGGAUGAAUGGUGAUAAUUGCUAUUAUGAUGAUAAUGAUAUGAUUAAACACGGGAAUAAGGGAUCUGGAAAUUCGGUUGACUGUUUGAUAGAAGGCGUCCACAUUGUGCGCCUGUGGUACUAGCCUUGUCUACCUAAUUCUCACUGGUUUACUACUUUUACUUUGCAAGUGUUUUGCUCGGAAAAGAAAAUUCUACGCCGCCAGGUGCAAUUGUGGAAAGUCAAUUUGUAUUAUGAUGAUUAUUUGUUUACUUUUAUGCAAGGCCAAAAUAUCAAGAAGAGGGUGUACCAGCCUUAUAGAGUUGGGAAUACUAGUAGGUUUGUUUGGAUUGUCAUCUACUUUUGAGGCAAAACAUGAAGUAAAUAAAAUGUCGUACAAAAUUAUUAAAAAAAAAGAGAACCAGAAGUGUUUUCUAAUUUAUUAAUCAAAAUAAAAUAAAAAAAGAAAACGAACUAUAAUAAUGAAGUUGUUUAGGGGACUAAGAUGCAGAUUGGUUAUAUAUGUUAGACAAUGAAAUGGGAAAGCACCACACAUAAAAGAUUAUAUUGAAUACCCAGUACAAUAUUUAGCUACUUAGGUGCUUUUCACAUGACACCGGUACGCUCUGGUUCAUUGUGUAAAGUCACCGGCCAUUGAUCUUAGAGCUGUUAAUCGAACCGAGUCGAGCCGAGUAUUUGGCUGUCGAACUCGACUCGAGUUUAAUUCGAGCCGAGCUCGACUCGAGCUCGUUAGGCAAACGAGCUUUAAAAUGUGUUCGAACUCGACUCGUCAAAUGCGACUCGUACAAGCUCGAGCUCGAGCUCGUGCAAAUUAACCUCAAUAAAAUCUAUAAUUUUCAAUUUUUAUACUUUUGACUUCUAAACUAACAAAUAUGCCCUUUAUUAACGAGGUCUAACGAGCUACUCGGAUAUCAAAUGAGCCGAGUAAGCUCGGCUCGUUAACUAAACGAGCACAUUUCUAGCUCGAACUCGGCUCGUUUACCGCAACUAACGAGCCAAGCUCGAGCCUUAUCGAGCCGAGCUCUAACGAGUUUUCGAGCUACUCGUGAAGUUUAAUUGAUCAAUGAUUGGUCAACGGCUAGUUUUAAAGUUUGCCUUUUUCCUGUUUUUUAUUUUUAAAUGUAAAUAAAAGUUGGUCUGUCAUGUCCACGAGACACGGCGGACCUUAUUUGUAAAAUAGUCCCUACUGUGUGGCAAGGACCUCAAAAUAAAUAAUCAGCUUGCCGUGUCUAUUUCAUAUUAAAAAAAAAGGCCCGUGGUAGUCAUAUAACAAGAAAACCCCCUCUACCCAACUUUUUUUUCAACUUUUUUUUACCAAUAUACCAAGAAAUUUGUCCAACAGAAUCGAUUCCCCCAUCACUUAAAUGCUCCUCCUAUCCUCCACCCCAUAUCUCUCUACCCCAUCCCCGCUCUACUCUACUAGCUAUCCCUCAGGGUGCCCUCACCUCACCUUAUUACUAUUUUUUUUUAAUGUGGCUUUAUUUGUAUAUAUGUGUAACACUAAUACUAGAUUUAUUACUCAUUCUUUUGAAAUUUCAACAAAAAAAUUUAACUUGAGAUAAAGUUUAAAAAUUGUUUUUGGGGGUGUUUUUGAAAAACUUUGCUGUAGCAGAGUUUUUAGAGUAUAUUUUGAAAUAUUUUUAUUGGCACUUUAUUAUGAGAUAUUUGGUAAAAUUUUAAAAUAAUUUAAAAUAAUUUUUAAAUUAUCUUUUAGAGUACUUUGUUGUAACUUUUAUUUUAUUUGAAAAACUAGUUUUUGAAAAACACUCCAAAAACAGGAGAUCCAAACAGAGCCCUUGUGAAUCCAUUUCUCUUUGUUUGAUAUAAACUGAAUCCUAAAUCAAUUAUAAUUAUUUUUUAAUAAGCAACAUGCCAUAACCAAAAAAGAAAAGAAAAAGUAAACUAACAUAAAAAAACAAAAAAUUGUAAUAUAUUAUCACAAGAAAAUUUCAUAUUAUUCAUUUGAUAUUACAUGUUAUAAUUAUAUUAUAUAUAUAUAUAAUAUUAAAUUAAGGCGGGACGGCGUGAGAAUGUCCUCCCCUAUCCCUGCCUUGUUUAAAGUGGGUGGAGAAAAAUCCCCCCAAUCUUACACUUCUCCCACUCUAUUGAAUCGUAUGAGACCAUCCACUUUUAUUGUCAUCCCUAAUUUUAACAAUAAAAACAACAAAAACCUUGUCUUGGCUUGUUCAUUCCAACCGAGUCAAUAAAAGUUGCACCGUAUUUCAAGUAGUGUAAAUGAGCGACUAGGAUUAACCCAACCCUUCUAGAAUUUACAAUUCCGUGAACAAAUUUGUUUGGGCUCUUGUACCAGAAAUCGUGGCAAGAUCUGGAUUACUCAAAACACUAGCAUCAAUAAUCUUGAAACGCCAUUUAACCAUAGAACAACUAAUGGAAUGUAGUUCAAUUUCUGUUUUCUAUAAUUAUGCCGUAUUAGGUGUGAAAACCAUUUAGUAUGAUAUACCACCUCAUCAGGACACGUAUUUCAAUUGUUUUUGUUCUUUUAAUUUUUUUAUUUGUUUUUGUCUUGUAGAAUUGAAGCGAGAAACAAUCAACUUCAACUUCGACUUCAAGCAAUUUAAUUACGUGGAGGAAUCUUGAGGUUUGACCGGGAAGGGCAAAGAGCAAAUAAAUGAUCAGGCUUGCUUGCUGUGCCCUCACCGCCAGGUAGAGGAUGGUUGACAAUGACGCGGAUGGAAUCGCCCACGUCAUAGAGGCUCGCUCUUGAGACUUGUCUACGUCUUCACUUUUGACUCUCAGCCAUUCUUUUCCCAUAUGAUUAUAUGAAGGCCAAGGACUAUUGGACUUAAAUCUUAGUGAAGAAGAAAAUGCUAUCCACGUUUUCAUCGAGAAAAAUCUUUCAUUUCGUAGACUUAAUGGGGAAGAAAAUGGCAUUUAGACGAAAAGACGAAGAGAAGGGUAAGAAAAUGUGGAUUUCUUCUCCUGGAACAUAAUUGCCAUAACAAGGCACGUUAAAUCCUCACAUCUUUUCUUUAGUCCACUACUCUUGUCAACAGUUAGGUAGGCCUCUGACGAGGAAGGGUUGGAUUAAGCGGCACGUAGGAAGGAUUAUAAAAUUAAGAGAUUUUAGAUUUAAAAUCUUUCACUUAAAAAAAAAGAAUAGACCUUGACAAUUUUGAUCUUCUUGGCGAGAUGGUUAAACUUGUCUUUUUUUUUUUAUUGUUUUGUAUUACUCAAAGGAUCUAGAUUUAUAGUAUCAAAUUUUAAAUUUGGAAUUCUUCAUUAUUAUAUGUAGGAUUAAAUGCGCUAAGCCAAUUAAAAGUUUGGUGAUUUGCACUUUUGCUCUUAAAUGUUAAUUUUGUUCUUCUUUCCUCCUUAACUAAUGAUCACUCUAAUGAUUUGCUUAAAAAAAAUCAAUGCCCUUAAUUGACAAUUAGUAAAAAUAAUAACCGAACAAGAGAUCCACAUAUAUAUAUAUAUAUACACAUAUUUAUGUAGGUGUGUGUGCAUAUAUAUGUAUGUAUGUAUGACACACACAGAGUUAAGAAUGGAUGCAACCAUUUGAAAAGAUCACAUACUUUUGGAAUCUAUUGACAAAUAUAAAAUAACAUCAUUUUGUCAACACUAAAAGGACUUAUGAAAAAAUUAUAAAAAAUGAAUACCCUACAAUUCUCUAAAUUUUAAUAUGUCCUUGGCAUACAUAUGGGAGAUAUUUUAUUACAUUUACAUCUCACUUCCACUUGUUGAUGUUCAAAAAUUGAGAAGGCAUACCUUAAAUAAUAACAAGGUGUCAUCGAAUGUAUCAACUUUUAUGAGAUGGUUUUUUUUGAAAAAAAAUAGAAGUGGAAUAUUGGGACUUAAUUCUUCACUUUCCAAAAGAAAAAGGAAAAAAAGAAAAAAUUGCAGCACCAAAAUAGGUGAUGAGGCGAAAGCUUGUAUCAUGAGAAGAGGAGUGAAAAAAAUUAGAAAUGAGGCACAGCUGAAGCUUUGGCCAUUUUUUGACGGUCAAAGUCGAUUUAACUUGACAAAAAGGGCAAAGUGCCUUAUUUCACUUAAAGGAGUGUUUGGAUAGCAUAUUUCUCCAAAUAAUAUUUCGCUUGCAUCAUAAACAUAUUUUCCAACCCAUCUUUUUAUAUUUCCAACCAUUUUUUUAUCUCACAUACAUUACAUCACAAAAAGUGCUACAGUAAUUAUUUCAAAUAACACUCUAUCCAAACAAAGAGAAAGUGAAAAUCAUAAAGAUUGUCAGAGGGAGGAGCUUAGUGGAUUUAACCCUUGUGUAUAUAUCAACGGGAUAAUUUCAGAAACCUUCCUUGAAAUUUCUUAUAAUAUCACUUAGUGCUACUAAGAUUUCUAAAAUCUCGCUUACCUUCUUUGAAUUGACAUUUUUUUAAUAACAUUUUAGCCUCUCCGAGAGAAAUGCAAGAGAGAUAAAAUUUUACUCCCUAAGACUAGAUUUGGUUUUUGUUCUGUGGGAGAGAUGGAGGAGAUUUUGAUUGAAAGUAUUUUAGAGAGAAGGAAAAAAUAGUUUAAAGGGAAGUAAGAGAAGAGAGAAAGUAAAGUAUACAUGUAGUCCCCAUACUAUCUAUCAAUUGAAUGCUUGUCAAAAAAUUUUGAAAACAUUUUCCUUGAGAGAAUAUGCAAUUAAAAAAGUAGAUGAAGUUAAUGUGAAAACAUAUGCAAUAAUGAAUAAACAUAGGGUUAAUGGCACUUUGACGCCCUGAACCUAGGGGUGGCAAUUCCUGACACGACCCGAAAACACGACACGAACCUAACACGAAAUUAAUGGGUUUGGGUUGAGGUUUUGGGAGUUCGGGUCAGAAUCGGGUCGAACCCGAUGAACCCGAAAAAAAAACAGGUCAAUUUCGGGUCAAUCCGUGGUGACCUGAUAUGACCCGAUGUGACCCGUUUAUGAAUUAAAACUAAUUUAAUAAACAUAAAAAUUAUUUUAUCUAACUAAACUAAAUCAUUCUUUUUUUCCAAAGGCAUUAAUUACUUGAUCCUAAAUGAAUUUAUUUAACUUGUGUGAAGUUAAAAUUACUAUAUUUGGACAAAUAAUAUAUUAUGUUAUUUUUUACUUUUAUGUUGUUUUAAUUUAUUUUAUAUUUGGUUUGGGAUAAAACACUUUUAUGGUGUUUAAUUUAUUUUAGAUUUGGUUUGAAAUUAUUUAUUUAAAUUUUUAUUACUUGAUGAUGUAAUUAAUUUUGUGAAAAAUUGAUUUUAUUAGAAAUUAUAGUGAUAAAUUAAUAAAUUAAAAUUAAGUUUCGGGUCAUUUCGGGUCGACCCGCCAACCCGCCAACCCGAAAUUUUUGGGUUCGUGUCAGGUACCCUGACCCGUUUCGGGUUGGCGGGUCGGGUUCGGGUCAGCAGGUUCUUUGUUAUACUUAGGCCUCAACCCGACCCGCCAACCCGAACCUGACCCGUUUGCCACCCCUACCUGAACCUAUGGGGCGAUGACACUUUACCACCCUAUACUUCAAAAAUACACAUUUUGCCCACUAAAUGAAUUAUGUUUUGUACUUUUAAUUUUGGCCAACUCAUGUGCAUAUUUUUCUUCCCAAAUUACCUCCAAGUUUCCUAAAUUUUUCAGCAGUCAAAUUUUAUAUUGUAGUAUUUUCCUAUUUUAUAUUCACCAUAAUAUUCUUCCGUUGCAUACUAUGUUAUUGGAUUAUACCAUAAAUUAAAUAAAAAAACUCCUCCAACUGCCACUUUAUCCCUGUCUUUUUCACUAUCUUGUAGGUGCUCCCAUUGUGACCACUAUUAUUUCUUAUUUGAUAUGAUUUUUAAAAAAAAUAUAUAGCAUCAAUUAUAAUCACAAUUAUCAGUCAAAUAAUAAUUGCAAUUAUCAAUUAUUUUUUCAGAUUUGAUACUAUGCAAAAUUGUGAUAGCCCACCUCCCCUUAAAGUGAACCAAGGGGUUCAGCGGACCACCUGCCCAACUCUUGUCAGGACUCACUCACUAACAUUCUUUAAAUAGUCUUUCACACCUCUAGAUUAAUAUAAAAAGUUCUAUUCAUCCAAGAAUUCCAACUUAAUUUACAACCCAAAAAUGAAACAUAAGAUUUCAUUAACAAAGAUCCCAAAUACAUUUCAUCUACAAAAGUACUAGUACAUGAAGAUUAUUCACACUAUUUCACGCUUACUUGCUCUGGCCUCCACUCCUGUAAGGCAAAUAAAACUAAAGGAAUGAGUUAAAAGCCCAGUGAGAUUCUCAAACAAGCAAUCAGUGUGACACCCCCACUUCUCCCUAAGGCGAACCAAAGGGUAUCCGCGGGACGCCUGCCCAGCUCUCGUCAGAACUCAAGACAAUUCGAUUCAAGCUUAACGAUACAUAACAAAUAAUACAAGUCUAAUAAAGAAAAGUCGCUUCCAUAAUCGAAUAUCCAAGUCUUACACUACGAGUUCAAGAUAUAUCAGUUAUCCAAUUCUUACAUUAGGUUCCCAAAAGAUACAUCAAUUCCCAAAAUAUACAACAACCACAAUGUCUAGUCAAUUACAUUUAAAACCCUAAUUGAAAGUACAUCCAAAGGGUUUUUUCGAGUUUCACUCCAUGUCCAUACCUAUUAAGGAAAACAAAUCUACGGGGUGAGCAAUCGCUCGUGAGGCCAAGAACACUCAUGCAAGCACGUUGUCCAAAUAACAAUCCCAAUUAACAAGUAAAACAAUAAUUUUCAAGUAAAUGACAAUUCGAGCAAGAAUAGUAAACAGAAACAAUUCAAGGAUAUAGGAGCUCUCAGGAGCUAUUUUCCACUUGCACGACCAAGAACCUCCACGAAUUGACACUCCGUCAAUCAGGUAGGUUACAGUCUGUAGAAUUUCACUUAACCUGUCCCCGUUCACCGUUACAUACCCCUGUAUCGGGCCCGCCUGUCGCUUGUUUGAGGCGAUACUGCUCGAGUAUGCCAAGCAAGACCUCUCAAUAGGUCAAGCUUAUGUUUUCUCAUGGUUCACCAAGGAGUUCGACCAAGCUCAUGCCAGCUCGAGUCCAAGGUUGGCCAGUGAGAAUUGGGCAUCUCCCACGAUUACAAUUAAGAAUCGAGAAGAUUCACUCCAAUCGACUUAUGCAGCCAAGCAUUAGGACAAUAAAGAAUUUAGGCAAAUAAAGCAAGAUUCACUACCUAACACUUACCAUUUUACACUUAAACACUCGCACUUAAACCAUCACACUACACUCACUCAAUCCGCUCAGGUCAAUUCAAACCUAAAUUGUGAUACCACCUGUGACGACCCCACCUCCCCCUAAGGCGAACCAAAGGAUUCGGCCGACCGCUUACUCAAUUCUCGCCAGGAGUCACUCACUAAUAUUCUUGAAAUAAUCUUUCACACCUCUAGAUUAAUAUAAAAAGUUCCAUUCAUCCAAGAAUUCCAACUUAAUUUACAACCCAAAAGUGAGACAUAUGAUUUCAUUACCAAAAAUCCCAAAUACAUUUCAUCUACAAAAGUACUAGUACAUCAAGAUUAUUCACGAUAUUUCACGCUUACUUGCUCUAGCCUCCACUCCUGUAAGGAAAACAAAAUUAAAGGAAUGAGUUAAAAGUCCAGUGAAGUUCCCAAACAAGCAAUCAAGUAGAUAAAACAUGAAAGUAUUACAUUUAAUAAAUUUCACACUUUGCAUAGUAAUAAACAGUCAUUCAAGAAACAAACAUUCAAUUAUUGGAAGGAUACGUGCUCACUUGGAGCCAUACAUUCAUUCAGUCAUUCAGUCAUUUAGUCUCCGACCGUUUCUCCCUUAUACCUCCAACAUGUGAAAACAUUUGAAAUAAAACUCCAACGGUGAUCAUUUCAUUCAGUCAAUCAUUUCAUUCAUUGCAUUUCAUUCACUGAUCAGUACUCCACCAGAUUUCGUGGUCAUAUUCGAAUUUACCAAACACUGUCCCAGGAUCACCAGUUGCCCAAUCGAGUCCGCUUCUGGCUUGAGUCGACUGGCAACGAAGGGUAAGGACCCAGUUCAGCCAAAGACUUACAUUAAUGCACAAGAACAUUCAAUCAUUUGAUCAUUGAAAAUUCACAUUCACCUACGUCGAAUGCGAUAAAGUACACACUCGCCUAUUGAAAAUCCAUUUAACAAUCAUUGAAAAGCGUUUGGUCAUUUGAAACACAACAUACAAGGAACACUCACCGAUAUCAAUAGGUUAAAUGUCAACUCUUUGGAUGAUAACCUUGAUCGCUACCAAACCCUGAGGCAAGAUUCACAAUCACAAUAGAUUUAAACUUAGUAGAUUCAACUAGCCAAAACAUGCACGUCUAGAAUUUCAAGAUAUUCCAUAUACUUUUCACUUUGACCUCGAGACUUUUAGAUAAAAUUCAACACAAGUAUUCUAAAAGUAAGGAGAGCAAUUUAAACAUCCAAAAUCACACCAAAUUAAGGUUUAGUGAAAUUUCGUAAAUUGCUAACACAAAAUUUUAUAUAUAACUAACACAAGGGAUGGAAUAUAUUAUGAAUGGUGUUGAUUUUCAAAAAUAAAUUUCAAAUUAAUUUUAUGAGAGUAUGAUGGAGAGAAAUUCUCUCUGAUACAAUUGAUAGGAGCCUAGUUGUGAAUGCGCAUGUGUCACUAGUUACCCUUCCACUAUACAUCCUAACCAUAGGUUGGCCAGUGGCCUUGUGCAUGUUUCAUUCUGUUAGACAUCCCCAAAUCCCGGAAUUUAUGCUACAACUAGGCUUGUCAAUCGGGCCAUCUUAAUCACACUUUAACAAUCUCAUCCUUGAGUUAUAUAAUUAGUACUACUUUCAAUUUUGGGUUGAUAAAUAUGAAGUUCAUACUUGACUCAGAAAAUAUUGAAAUUGUGAACCUAAUUCGGGUCUGCUUGUCAUGAACAAGGUCACGGCAUGCCAAUUUCCACUAGAAAUAGACGAUAACCAAUAGCAAUACUAGGACAACAAACUCAGUGGGCAUUCAUCAACAGAGUACAGAUAAGAUGUAAGAGUCAAGACUUUGUUGCAAUUAAUGAUGCUAGUUGAAUAAUAUGUUAGUUUAAACGCUCAUAAUACUGAGCACUGGACUAAAGAUGUAGGAACCCUGUGCCUGAAAUAGACAACUAUUUUUGAAAAAUUUUGAAAUAUUGAAGUAACAUUUUUUCUGAUACAAUAUAUGUGAAAUAAAAAAUAACUAAAAAGAUAAAUGUGAUUGGAAUAGGUGUUUGUAUUAAAGUAAUUAGUAUACAACUUUAGUUGCUCUGGGGAGAGAGAAGGGCAUUUUAAAAAAAUUUAAAAUAUUUAAUUAACUGUUUUACUUUAUCAAAUAUAAUUAACUGUUUAUAUAAUCAAAUAUAAUCAAACAACUAUAUGUCAUUGAGUUGAAACAACUAUAAUCAAUUUUCUUUUUCUUUUUCUUUGUUUGGCAUUUCAACUAGUUGUCAAUUAAGUUUCAAUUGAAAUAAAGAUUUUAUAAUUAUUUAAAUUAUAAAAUAAAAUUAUCAAUUUAAGAUGAACAUAAAUAUAAAUACAUUAAAUUUAUUAUUGAAAUAUUUGAUUUAAUAUGAAGGAAAGACAAGAAGAAAUGGCAAGAAUUUUUUUUAAAAAUUCAUGUGAGUCCUUUAUAUUGGUAAUCACUUUUAUUUGUUAUUAUAAUCAUAAUGCCUGAUCAUAACCGAUUGAAACUCAUAUUCACAAGUUGUAUAACGAUUUGUGUUAUACUAUUUACAACUAAAGUUAUUAUAUAUUCAAAUUAAAAUUUUCUUUUAUAUAUGAUUUAUGGGUUAUCAUUUGUUGGUAAUUAAUUCAACGAAAAUAUGCUCUUUAGGCUAAUAUUUUGACAAUGUGGAUUACUUUUAAGAAUUUUAAUGAGAUUUAGAACACAUUUUUAUGCAUUUAAUCUAAUUCACAUUUUAUUUCAUUUAAAAUAUAAUUAUUUAAAACAUAAGGGACCAAAAAAUAUGAAGUCAAACAUUUGACUAUAUGCUUCAUAGGCUCUUGAUUUUUUUUUUUUUUUUGUCAAAUAUCAACUUCAAUAUAUAUCAUAGGCUCUUGGUAGUUAUUGCUCAAAGUGGAUAUAUGCUCUGUCUGUAGGAAUCCAGAAGAACUAUGAAGCCUUAGUGGACAAAGCAGAUGGAUAUACUUACUUCUAUCCGGCAGCAGUAAAAUUUUUUUUUUUUAAACGCUUCCGGGCCUUGUCAAUGCGGUAGCACGAAACAAAUUUUUUUUUUUUUUUUUAAAAUUUCGCUGGCUGCUGAGCUAAUGUCAGAUUUUUUAAAAAAAAAAACCUCUUUUGCUGCUGGACUGACACAAUUCGACAGCCAUAGUUUUAUACGCAGCACGAAACAAAUUUUUUUUUUUUUAAAAUUCACUGGCUGCUGAGCUAAUGUCAGACUUUAAAAAAAAAAAAAAACCUCUUUUGCUGCCGGGCUGGCACAACUCGACAGCCAUAGUUUUAUGCGCACCAUUAUCAGAUUCAUAUAUGUUCGACUUUUUUUUUUUCCACCGAUAUUCUAAGUAAUUAGUCACCGACACCAGCUCCAUCCUUUGAUUUUUCCUCCUAUUUAUCUACUGUUUGACUGUACAGACACUUCACCCGUCACUUAUUUCGCCACCGCUCCAGAGUAAACUGAUCGGCACCAGAUUCCAUGGAUUUUCCUCGUGGCCAUAACACCCACCACCACCACCACCGCCACCGCCCAGGUCCGGAAGAAGAAGUGUACCCACCCGCAGCACGGCCACAUCCACCUCCCUACUAUGAAAACGAGCCGCCGCCACCGCCACCACCAGUAGUCCACCAUCCGCAUCCAGCCCCUUACUAUGCAAACGAGCCGCCGCCGCCACCGCAAGUGACCCAUGUUCACCAUGGAGGAGGUGCCGGAGGACCACAUCCCCCAGAUUUCCGCAACGAUCCACCACCACCACCACCACCUGUUGUUGAGCAUGUUUCCCAUCACUCCUUUCAUCCCCACAUGCCUUCUGUUUUCCACCAUCACACCCAUCACUCAAAGAUCGCUGAUAAGCCUUCUGUCAGAGUUUACACUAAGGCAGAGCCUAAUUAUUCUCUUACCAUCCGUGAUGGAAAGGUUAUCCUUGCUCCUUCUAAUACAUCUGACCCUUUUCAGGUGAGUUUUGCUUUUUGAAUUUUAAUGCCUUAGGAUAACUCUUUUUUGUCUAAAUUAGCUUAUUUGGAGUUCUAAGAUAGGCGGACUGAAUAUUAUUUAGUGUCUUCGGUCUUUGUUAAGGAGAAUUUGAUCAUUGUCCAUUUUUCAUCCCCUUGGAAGAGAGAGAGAGAGAGAGAGAGAGAGAGAGAGAGAGUUUCAGGAGGGAUUUGGUAAAAUGUUGUUCCUUUUAAUUGUAAUUUUAGGUUGAGAGAGGUGGUUGAUCAGUUAUUAGUUUUUUUUUUUAACGGUUGUGAUUGUGGUGUGGACAUGGAUUUUUGCAGCACUGGAUCAAGGAUGAGAAGUAUAGCACCAAGGUGAAGGAUGAAGAGGGAUUUCCCAGUUUUGCACUGGUCAACAAAGCCACUGGCCAGGCCAUGAAGCACUCUAUUGGGGCUACUCAACCUGUAUGUUCUGCUGCUUUCUGUCUUUGUACAAUUUCAGAUGAAGAUGUGUGAAGCAUAUUGAAAAGAACUUUUGAUUGCAUUGUUUCCCUCUUGAAAGUUUUGAUUAGCUGUUGUAGUAAACCUACAAAGAAUCUAUUGCAGUCAAAUAUAAAUAAUCAGUAUUCUGUGACCUACAAAGCUCAAAAUCUAUUCUUAAAUAGUUUGACUUUGGUCCUGGUAAUAGGCCUAACCUGUAGAAGAUGGUUAGCAAGGUGAGUUAAAAAGUAAAAAAUUGUAGCUUCAGUAGAUAAUUCAGAGGUUCAAUAAAGUAACAAUUCUUUUCCACUAAAACCACAUUCAUACCUGUAGAGAAUGGAGAUAUUGGCAUAUAGUCAAGUGAAAAUGAUGAUGAAAAUUAGCAAAGUCAUAACUUGGGAGGGAUGAAGCUUGUAAAUUAUGUAAAGGUACUUGAAGGCUUCCAAAAGUGUUAUAGAAUUAUCUGAAGCUCAACUCAUUGUUUUAAAAUUAUGAUUUAGUACAGCAUUACAUAGUGCCAAGUUAGGUGAAUGUUUGAUUCUAGUGAUAGUUAUCCUUGUGUUGGCGUUGAGCAUCACUAUCAACCAUGAAGUUCAAAAUUUUUUUAUUUGGUUAAGAAUCCAAACUGAUUUUAUUAUAGUUCUGCAAUGCUAUGGAUGAUUAUGUUGCCACCCAUCUGCAGAGCACUAAGCUUCUCAUCGCAUGGCAUGUGAGGCGCUUAAGUUGGCUAGAUCUAGCUCUUUGAUGGAAUGGUGGUUCUUUGUUCCUUAACAAGUGUUUGGGACUUAAUAGAAAGUUUUAUUUUGUUAAAUAAUUACCUUCAAAAAACUAAUGCCUGAUUUUGACUCUCUCUUGAAUUUGGGUAUUAGGGAUUUUUUGAGCCAAUUCUAGCCUACAACUAGUUCUAACUAAAAUGGGAUAAUUUUUUUUUCUCUAGUUGCCAGACUUUCUUAUGGACUCUAUGCAAGGAGCUUCUAUUUUGUCAAAUGCUUAUUUAUUUAUUUUUUGUAAGUGGGAGAUCUUGAACCUAGGGUCUCCCAACCCAACCCUCCCCACUCGUCAAAUGUUGUAUUUUCUUCAUUCAACUUAAACUUUUCUUUGCUUACUCUAACAAGUGUUGAAGGAAUUAAAAAGGAAAAUAGAUAAACCCAUCCAAAGGAGAAAGGCAGUAUUGAGGGUAUGAGAGGCACAAAAGAUUUCCAUUGGAAACGAGGAAUGUUGGGAUCUAUGAAAAGAGAUAAUGCCUUGCAGGAUGGAGUAUAAGAGAUAGUUAUCUCUGUCUAUGUAAGAAGCCUGAAUUCUUUGCAGAGAAGAGAACCCAACAUGGAGAAUCAAGAUUUUAGGAAGCGUUAAUGAUCAUACCUCAGGUUUAAUAACCUGACUUGUUGAAACUCCUCAUUUAGGUUGGUAAUGCUCAAGCUUGUGGAGGAAUUAGAUUGGGAUGAAAGUCCAGUAUUGUGAGGAUGCCAAAACCUUUCUUUCCAUUCUAACUUUAUAUUUUAUGAUAAGAAGUUUGAAUACACUUCACAGCCACACUCAGACAGAUUGAAACACGCAUAUAUUUGUCUAUGCACUGACCGUUUUAAGUGUCUUUUAAUCAAGGAAGGUUAGAUGCAUGCUAUGUUUACAUGAGGAAUACAGAAUUCUGUAUAAAUCAAGUGACAUGCAUCUAAAAGUGUUUGGUAAUGAAGAAUUGUACCUAUUAGUGCAUGUAAAGAUCAGCCCCUUACAUGUGUGUGUGGGUUUAGAGUCAGAUCUUAAUCUUUUGAACUGUUUCUGUAGACACCCUACUCAAGUUAACUCCUUAAACAUGCUCAAGGGUUCAGCUGCAGUAAUUCUUAUGUAAACUAUGGAUUUGGCAAACUAACUUGAGCUGGCAUGGAUGGCAUCUCAUAUUGUAUUAUUCUAGUGUAAGCUGGAUAUAUUUGGGAAAAGUAUUAGAUGGUCAAGGUACCCAAGUGGCAUGUCAUGUGGUGCACCAAAACCAAUCAUAUCCCAUUAAUGGCAGUCCUUGUGUGGUGAGUACUAGACAUGGAGGACCCACGCUGCUUGGUGGGAUGUGAUUGGUAUUAGUGCACCACGUGGCACUUCAGUAUGGCAUGCCUUGAGCAUUUAAUACCUUCUUGAUAUAUGUGCUCUGUGAUGGUUUGUUUCAUGCCUUUAGUGGUACAAGUGUCAAGCAGAAAGAGUGAUAUCAUUGAUUUUCUAUGGAUUACUUAGCCAUCUUUGCUGAUCCAUUUUGACUGGCAAUGGAUUUUACCAUUCAUGAAUUGAGGAGUGUGAUCGGUUUUAAUCUAGACGUACUAGCUAUGUCAAGCUACCAGUUUUGCAUCUGUCAAAGCGCCAAAUAAACGUCGCCUUAGAGACAUACACAGGAAUAGUUACCUGCAAAACCUGCAUAAAGACAAAUGUAUAAACAAGGUUUUCAAGAGAGUUAAUGGAGGACUAUAUCUUGUGGUUACUGCUUUAUUUCUUUUCAACACCUUAGACAUUCUUGCUGAUUGCAAUACAUUUUCUUGAUUUUAUUGAAUGUACACCUUACAAAACUGGACAUCUGAUAUUUGACUUUUAUAACAAAGAGCACAAAGAAAGAGAGAAGAAAACGUCAGAAAUAAACAUCAUUGGUCUGGGCUCUAGCAUUUCUGCUCUUUGAUCUUUUUGCUUAAUUUUGUAACCAUAUUCUUAUAGAACUUUUUUUCUAAGUGAUCCCAUGCAUUUCUUCUUUGUUCUCAUAUAUGUCUUCAGAAAUUCACCAUCUUUAGCAUCAUAUUUAGUAGAAUUGUCAGAGUUAGUACCUUUUUCUUAGCCUAUUCACACAUGAUGGUAAGUUUAGGUGGUCAUUUAGUUGGUACUAUCUCCUUUUUUUUCGUAUUGUUUAUGUUGUGAAAGGCCAUCAGUCACUUGUCCACAACUUUAUUACAAUUUUUCAAGUGUUAAGUUGAGAUUGCCCAAAAUAGUCGUAGCUGUACGGUGUUGGUAAAAGUGAAGUUCAUUUAUUUUCCAUGUUAUUUUAUAAGACGGUUUUAGUCCUGCAAAAGUAGUAGUAAUAUGCUAGAUUCUUGAAGGUCUAGGGAUUCAUUUGUAUGGUUCUAUGCUUUGUUUUGGCUUUGGAUCUCGUGCAUUCGCAUACCUAAUCUCCUAGGGACUUCUACCCUCUUUCCCUGAGUGCAUGAUCUUGGGAAUUAAUUGUUUGACUUGUUGAGGAUAUUUAAUGAAAGUCUACUAGGAAAAUUAUUACGUGACUGUUUGUGCCAAGAUAUAUUCAACAUUUCAAUCUUUGCCAACAGGUGCAGCUAAUCCCUUACAAUCCUGAUGUUCUUGAUGAGUCAAUCUUGUGGACCGAGAGCAGGGACUUGGGUGAUACCUUCAGAACAAUUAGAAUGGUGAACAAUAUUCGCCUGAACGUGGAUGCUUUCAAUGGCGAUAAAAAUCAUGGUGGUGUACAUGACGGCACCGUUAUUGUUCUAUGGGAAUGGAAGAAAGGGGAUAACCAAAGAUGGAAGAUAGUGCGCUACUGUAAGUCUUAUCAUGUUUUGAACAUUUCAAAAUCUUUGAAGAUAUUAAUUUUUGCGUUGCUUUUUAAAAAAAAAAAAUCUUUUUUCGUUUGAUAGAGGGUUUAUCUAUUCCCAUAUGGUAGGCGUUAUUCCAUUAUCUGCAGAAAUGGGUAAUAGAUUUAGAAAGCUUUUUCGUGUCAAAUCUUUAGCAAAUGCACUUUCCCAUUUCUGCAUGCAUUUCGAGUCUCGGCAGCUUCUGUCUUCCCCAUCUUUCAUUUGUCACCUUGCUUUCUUUUUCACUAGCACCUUAUGUUGCUUGCAGAAUAUUCGGACCUGCAGAAUGAAUCGGCCUUCUUUCAGCUACUCUUCCAUUUCUAUGAUCUGGAAGAAUGGGCUUCUUCUUUCAGGGCCUAAAUAUGUGUGUAAGGGAAUUAAAAUAAAUUGUUGAGAAGUUUGUUCUCUAGUAGUGACUUGUGUGUCUUGUAUUGUGCGUGUGAAAUAAUUGUGUUCAGCUUCCACUUGAAGAACCACUGGCAGCACGUCUUUUAAGAGGGGGCUAAAUUUAUAACAGUAUGUAAAAUGAUUUAAUAUAGUUCUCAUAUCUCGUAUACCCAUUGUCUUCUUUUUUUAACCAUUUUCAAGUUGUCCGGUUGCAUUUACCCUUUCAGAUUCAUUUUCAGUUCGUCUGAAAUUUUGUUUCUCUAUUGAGUCAUACAAAUGCAUUUACCUUUAUAGGUUGACUUAAAUUACAAAAGGCAUGGUAGAAGGCAAGAAAAUUAGAUGCACGAUUUAUUAGGAUAGCAAACAGUUUCUAUUUAACUUCCAAACUGGGAAUUACAUUUGUAUUUAGCAGUUUGUUUACCUAGAAUUUGAUUAAUUGUCAAGACAAAAUUUUAGGAAUUAUACUUACUUUGUAGAAUUUUUUCUACAGCACAAAGAAAAACCAACGUAAUUUCUAUUUUUGACUCUACUGUAGAGUUUACUACCACUUACAAUUUAAACUUUAACUGACGGUAGAAAAUUAGUUAAAUUGUUCUUAAUAUGUAAGUUAUUGGUUGAAUUAACUUGAAAUAAUUAUCAGAGUGCGUGAAAAAGGUAGAAGCAAAAAGAUAAUUUAUGUAUGUAGCCCUUGUGUGGCACAUGCAAAGAUAAUGUACAGCUUCUAUGGUUUGAAAAUUUACAUUUUAACUCCAUAUGCUUUAGAUUAUAUUGAACUAUUAAAUUUUUAGUUAUAAUUAAGGGUUAAUUACGUUUACCUCUCUUUGAGGUUUAACUAAAUUACAAGACCAACCCUUAAGUUUGGCCAUAUUACAAACAACUUGCCUGAGCCGGAUAAGCGCAUAACCACUACGCCCUUGGUGUCAGUUUUCUAGCGUUGCCGUUAAAUGAUCAAUGAUAUCAGCAUGGCUUUCUUACAAAUAUCCUAUAUUAACUAGAAGCAAAAAUGCUUACUUUACUAUCCUCAAAAAAAGCACAAAAGGAAAAAAAAAAAGUUGAAAGCCUGAAGCAUAAAUUUCCCACAAAAACCCACAGAAACUAUACUUGAUCUUAUUGUCUCAAAAUCAAAGUUAAAUCUACAAAUACGCAUUGCUUCCUUCCAUUGCCGCCUGUAUGAUGCCCAUUGCUUUUUUAAUGAACAUGUAUGGAGUGGAGUACGCAAGUGAAAGCUGCUGUCUCUAUCACAUAUUUUAUGCUCACUGGUGCGUGUUUUUGGGUGUGGAUUUCUGGAUGCGUUUUUGUCUAUAAAACAAAGAGAAAAGUUCGAUGAGAGAAAAAACUAUUCAGGUCAGGAGUAAAUUGAGAAAAAUUAAUGCUACCAAAAAUUCUAGAGCUAGUGCGUCCAGAUGAUCAGAGCUUCGGGCACUUAUAUAGCUUUCAUGAACUCUAAAAUUGAUAUGGGUCUGGUUCAUUGUUGUUGGUGAUGGCAGCUUGUUUUCUUUGUUCUUGUGUUGUUUCUUCUAUUCUCAUGCUCCUCCUGGCUGUUGCAUUUGGAAUUUUUCCUUUUCUUCUGUUGGAAUUUGGUGGUUGGGACAUGGUUUGGGUAAAGGCUGGAGAGACGUUGGAGCGAAAUUUUCUUUUUCUUUUUCUGUUUUUUCUUUCUUUUGUUGCAGUGUGCGUUGCACGUUCUUAGAUUUUUCAGCAAUCUAAGAUAGUUGCUAAUUUUUAUUUUCAGACUUUUUGUUCCUUUGUUUUUUUUUAUUGUUAACCUAUCUUUUCCUUUAUUAUAAUUUUCACUUGUUUAACUUUGUUAGCAACAUGGGGAUGACAGUAAUACAGCCAAACAUGAGGGUUUCAUCUGUAAUUUGGUUAAACUUCAAGGAAGGUAUUUGCAACUAAUGCUACAAUUAACUAUCAUAAAGGUUAGAUUGAUCAUUUGAUUAUUAAGAGAAUCAUAAAAGAAAAGGUUAUAUUUGGAUGUUAUCAUUUUCUGAAAAUUAAUCUGAUUGUUUGAAUUGGGAAUUUUGAAUGCCAUUACUGUGGUGUCAUAGCAGCUUUGAUUCCUUUAGGGACAGCUACUGCCGAACUUUGAUUAUCUACUAAUUACUUGAAUUUAUAGCUGAUUGGGUACUCUUAUCGCAAAUUGAAUUGAGUCCGCUGAACAUGACUAAGAACGCUGAUGGGAACUUGAAGAAAUAUAUGGUAGAUCUAGGUAGUAUUGUCAGGGGGGUUAGUAAUAGAAGUGAUGGGUUUGAGAGGACUUCAUCUGUUCUGGAAAAUAGGCUGGAGAAUGUGAAAAAUUCAACUCAUAACAUGGAUUUUAAUUAUGAAGGUUUGAUGGCUAUGGUUGCUUAGAUGGUCACUGAUAUAUUGAGCUUGAAUACCACUGUCCAUGGGUUGAUAUCUAGUAUGGCAAAACUCUACAAGAAGGGGCAUGAUGAUUAUGUGAAGCUGGUAAGAAAGAGAACGGAAGAAUAGAAGGAAAGGAUCUGGGAAGAAUGAUUGUAAGCAGAAUAAUAGACUCCCGAGGAUUGACUUCCCUGUGUUUGAGGGAGAAGAUCCCAGAGAGUGGGUGAGAAAGGCAACCCAAUGCUUCAGGAUCCAUGAAAUUGAGGGAGAUAAGAGGACUGAGAUUGUUGAGCUAUAUUUGAAGGGAAAAGCUGAAACAUAGUUUCACAGUAACUUUAAUAGGAGAUUAGCAGUAUCAUGGGCUGAAACAUGGUUUCACAGUAACUUUAAUAGGAGGUUAGCAGUAUCAUGGGCUGAGUUCAUAGAUGCUCUUUGUAAGAGAUUUGGUGAUAGAUCUCCUGAGGAGAUGUUGGAAGAGUUUUCCAAGAUUUCUCAAGCUGGAACAGUCACUGACUACUAAAAGAUGUUUGAGAUUUUGAAAGCUCUAUCUAAUACCAUUUUUUACCACCUAUGCAUGAAUCAUAUUAUAUCUCAAUCCUCAUGAGUGUUAAAGAAAAGAUUAAAAACUAAGUGAAAAUGUUUGAACACAUUAACCUUAGCUCAAACAAUGGAAGUUGCUGAACUGCAAUAAAAAACAGUAUUAGCUAUUCAUAAAGCCAGAAACCAACCUUUCAACCUCAAGAGCCAAAUUUUCAGAAGAACCAACACUUCAGUUCUAAUACUUAGAAACCUUUUUCAAAACAUUCAACCACACCCAAAUGGAACGUAGACAACCUAAGAAACCAGAAAACUGCACCACCAAACCAUUUCGUCCUUCAAUAAACCUUCGAAUUAGUUUAAGAAGCUGAAUUCAAUGCUAAGAAGUAGAAGAGCCUUUGUUAUAAGUGUGAUGAACCUUGUACUUAUGAUCAUGUAUGCAAACAAGCUCAUGUGAAUUAUAUACUAGUAGUAAACAUGAUGAUCCUGUGCUAGUUGAUGCAAAACCAAAAAAGAAAGUAAAAAAUUACUGACUAUAUGGAAGAGGCUGAGAAUGAGGAAACAGUGGAAAUCUUCAUCCAUGCUUUUGCUGGCAGUUCAAGUCAUAAAACCAUUAGGAUUAAGGAUAUGAUUAAGGGAAGAACUGUUAGUAUCUUAAUAGAUACUAGGGGUCCGCACUACUUUAUUAAUGAGAACAUAGCUCAUGCAUUGAGAUGCAAAUUGAAUGAAGCUAAACCUUUGAAUAUGAUAGUAGCUAACAGAGAGAUAUUGAGCUCUAAGAGGUUGCAAGCACCAUUAAUUUGGCGAAAUUUGGGUUUGAAUUCCAAUGAGUACAUUGAAAUUGGGUGGCAGCGAAUGUUUUUUGGAGUUAACCAGUUGAGCAGAUUCAGUCCAAUGGAAUUUGAUUGUAGGAAACUCAACAUGAAAUUUAAGAAAGAUAAAGAAGAGGUAAUGAUGCAGAAGAUGAGUGAUGAAGUGCAGUUGAAGCUAAUUAGGGGAAAGAUGGUAAUUAUAUAGAGAACGAAACAAGUAAAUGGUAUUGCUGCUGAACUAAGUGCAGUAAAAGAGGACAAUGGAGCAGAAGAGCCGAUUUUAUCUGGGAUAGCUGAACUAUUGGAAGAAUAUUAGGGUACUUUUGUUGAAACCAAUGGAUUACCUUCUUAGGGGAAUCAUGCCUCCCAAAUUGUGCUCAAGGAGGGGGCAAAGCCUUUUAAGCUCAAACCUUAUAGGUGUCCCUAUAUCCAAAAAACAAAGUUUUGAUGGAUUUGGUUGCCAAAAAAACAAAGAUAUAUGUAGUUUACUUUAGAGCUUUAAAUAUGUGAAAUUUUGAUGGAUUUAGUUGCCAAAAAGAUGUUUCAUACACCCUAAGAUAUGUUAUCUUGAUUGAUAUUGGUUUUGCCAUGAAAAUAGGGUUGAAAAUUGGAAGGUUAACUUCAGGAAUUUGGGGUUUUAUUGCUGCAAAUUCUUUCUUGGUUGGUCAAGUAAGAGAGUGAGAGUUGAGGUGUAAGUUUAGGGCGAUUUUGACUUCCUAUGCUUGAGUUACUUGCGAACACCUUGAUUUUCACAUAUAGGUUGGUUUUGAGUUAAAGCAAAGCGAUUUAAGAGGAGGAAAAUCUUGUUUGCCCUAAAAAUGUUUUAUAGUUGGAAGUGUCCAGCUUUAAACUCGAGAUUUUUGUCACUUUGCUUCAAAAAGUCGUGUUUACACUUAACAUAUUUUUGCUCCAUGCUAUGCCUAUGGUAGUGAGCUACAUCUAUGUGGUUUUCACAAGUACAAGGUGUGAUUUUUGAACCACUAUGUUGGAAGUUUGAUGGCUUCUUAUUAUAUUAUAUCUAAUCGCAGAUUUUCGAGAGUGGCCAGGCAACAGAGCUUGAGCUUGUCAUUGAUAGACCUUAAUUAGUUAGUGAGUGUACCAAUUGCAUGGUAGAACUUGCUCCUUGCUUGAAAUGCUCUUUUGAUGUGAAUGAGCAACACUUGACAUGAGAUCGUGAUUGAAUGAAUGUUACUGCUAUGCUCUUGACUUGUUUUGGUUGGGCGACUGUGUUUUUUAUCACACUUGCCCUAAUUGGACUAAAGUAUUGUGCACUGUUUGCAAGUGAAUUGAUAUUCAUGUGCAUGACUUGAAAGUAACUGCCUAGGAUUUCAAACCCCAUCGGCUAGUUAGUUGAAUCAAGCCAGUAAGGGCUUGGUUCAAGAGAUUGACGAACCAUGGGUACUGUUUAUUGUUUAUUCCACUAGAUUUGGUCUAUUGGAUUCGGUAUACUCGAGUAUUACCUCUACUGUUAUCUUUGGAAUUUGGACUCGAUAAGGGAUUGAUCGGUGGAUGGAGAUUGGAGAUAAGCGGUACUCUACUGAAUUUGUUAUUAUAUUUCCAUGGUUGACGGAGUGUCAACGGAUCCUGAUCAAGCUACUGCCAGACUAGCUCACAAGAGGAAACUGUAUCUUUAUGCAUGAAAAUGUUAAUUGCUUAUUUGACUUGUUUACUUGAAAUGUUAAUGACUUAUCUUGUGAACGUUUACUUUCUUCAGUUUGAGAUUGAGAUAUAUGUAAUUGCCAACUUGCUACUUCAUUUGCAUGUUGUCUUGGAAUCUCACUAGGCGAUAGCUCACUCCGUUAGUUUGUUUCCUUACAGGCGGCGAAAACGUGGGUGUGUGAGUUGGAGAAGGCUAGCGUAUUUGGUUUAGAUCCUUUGUCUAUUGUUCUAGUGUUCUUCUAGUUUUAGUGGGUUGACUUGAAUUUGAAUCUCUUGUUAUAUUUUGGGUUUGUAUGGGAUUUGAUGACCACGAAUGUAUAUAUCUAAGUUUCAAAGUUGCUAUUGCUUUUGUUAUCAAGGUUCUUGUAUUGCAUUGGGACUUGUGCGUGAGACUUGGCGAGAGUUGGGCAUGCGGUCCGCCAAGUCCUGGGGUACACCCGAGAGGGAGGUGGGGUCGUCACAGUUCAUUUGUGCCAUUUUCUUGUACUAGCACCAACAAUGUUUAGGCUUUCUCUUGCUGGCAAAAUAAACGUGAGUUUGUUGAAAAAAUUGGCUAUUAACAUAGUCAAAUUAGAGCAAUUUGAUGGAGGUAAUGCUAUCUAUUGGCAAAUUGUUUUCUUCUAACUUCACUACAAGUGGUCUAUGUGUUGACCACUCCAAAACUUCAUGUUGUCAGCAUUGAGGAAGAGAUGCUUGAUGAUCUGCGAAGGCUCCCAAAAUGGGAGAAUGAUAAUGAGAUUUGUCUUAGUCAUAUCCUUAGUGCAAUAAGUCAUGGUCUGUUCGAUGUUUACCAUACUAUUAGCAUCACCAAGGAACUAUGGGGGAUCAUUUGGAGGCUAAGUACAUGCAUGAAGUCACUUCAAGUAAGAAGUCCCUUGUCUCUAAUUUCAAUAACUAUAAAAUGGUAGAUAAUAUAUCUAUCAUGGAACAAUUUGUAGAAAUUGAAAGGUUUCUCAAUCAUUACAACCAAUAUAAUUUAGAUAUGGAUGAAGCCAUAAUUGACACCUUCUUGCCAUAAUUGUAUGUUCCAUAAUAGAUAAAUUGACACCUUCUUGGAAGGACUUCAAGAGAGAUCUCAAAACAUAAGAAAGAGGAAAUCUCUCUUGAAACUCUUACUUAAUCUCUUCGUGUAGAAAAAGAAAUUUACAUGCAUGAAAAGAAGGACACUCGAGUUUUUGAAGAGAACAAAGAUUCUUCAAAAUAAAGUGCAUGCAGUUAAAGAGAGAUGAACAAACAAAUCCCAAGGAGGCAAGAGAAGACAUCAAUCCAAGAAUAAACCCAACAAUAAUAAAAGGAAGAAGAGGGGGUGAAUGCUCCUAUGUCAAAAUGAAGCAUACUACAUGUCCGAGUGCAAGAUUCUCAAAAACAAAUGAGAGAAGCAAGACUCUUCUUACAAUUCUGGCAAAGUUCUUGUGGCUAUGAUCUCUAAAAUCAACCUUGUUGAAGAUGACUUUGCUUGGUAAAUUGAUUCAUGGACUACUCGACACAUGCAAGAACAAGGAAUUCUUCAAAUCCAUGAAAGUGGUUGAUGAUGACACCAUUGUUUGCAUGGAAAAUUCUCCCACCAUUCCGAUUAUAGGAAUUGGUGAAGUAGAAUUAGUAUUUACUUUUAGAAAUCUUGUAACUCUUUCUAAUAUAUUCUGUGUAUAAUGUAAGUUCCAAAACAACCUAAGAGGGGCGUAAAUUAUGUUGACAAAAAAAUAAAGCAAGCAAAGGCGAAAUUUUUCACCAAAUUAUUCAACCAAAAUAACUUAAAUAAUCAAGAACUCAAGUAAACACAAUAACAAGAGAUAUAAACAAAUUAAGACAUACAAACAAGUAACGAAAAGAGAACAAUAAAGUAAAAGGAUUGCAAACCAAUCAAACUCCCAAACUUCUUCCAAACUUGCUGUUGAAUCCACUAGCAAGUUCUUCAAUUGUUGGUGAAACUAAUCAACUUGUAUAAGUGAAGGUUCACUCUUUGCUCACCCUAAACUUUUUAGUUGAGUCAAAGAGUUUUACAACUUACCCAAUUUAAUCCUCAAUUAGCUAUAAUUGAAAGAUCACCCAAUCAAUUAGGAACUACAUACAAGUGAGACUCACCUUGUCCAAGAUUUUACUUCUCCUCAAUGAGAAAUCUCACAAAUCUAAGAACUUUCCAGACCUAUACAAUAUCCAAAGUAUUUUUCUACCCAAAAGUCACUCUUGAAAGCUUGUAUCUCAUGUAGGCAAAAGUUCAUCAUAUUUUCAAACUUGGGGUAUUUAUACAUAGUGAAAAUUUGUUCCAAACGUCUCUCCAAUGGUCAAAAAACUAGUUGUCGAAAAACUAGCCGUUAGAGUUGUCAAAUGUUAGAUCCUGUGUCUGACACCCUAUUGAACAUCCUAUCCUAUUGCUUUGCAUCUGAUAGCCUUGCAUCUGACAGAAAUAGAUUGUUUGACUUCCUUUCUCAAUUGUGUCGGAUGGCCGAUAGGAGAGAUGAGUCUCCAAUCGAUAUGUCCGAUAUUUUGCUUUGUCUUUCAGACGUACUAUAGUUUUAUUCUUUGUCCGAGGGGCUGCGUCUGAAAAGUACUCGCUAAUUGUUGGACAUUCGAUACUAUGCCAUGCAUCUGAUCCUUCCGUCUGAUAGUCAUUAUUGUCUUUCAACCUUUCUUAUUUGUUUACCUUCUCUUUCUAUUUGGCAAGGUGACUAUUCUAAAUCAUUUCUCAUGUAAAAACAUUAGUCCAAAUCAUCAUUUUGUUUGUUAAUCAUCAAAACUAAGGAUUGAUCAAUCUAAAUCUUUCAAUCUCCCCCUUUUUGAUGAUGACAAAUAAAUUGAUGAUUUCUUUGUUGAAAUAAAGUUAAAAUAGACUCCUCCUCAACACAAGCCAACAUUAAAAAAAAUAACAUCUAAUCUACUCCCUUUUUUAGCGUCAUAAAAAAUAAAGUAUGUAAGUACGAAGAGAAAUUGCUUAUAGAUAAUUGCAAGUAAAACUCCUCGAAAGAUCAAAUUCACAUCAAUUUUAUCAUCAUUCUUAUCAAUUAUCUUCUCCUUAAAAUAACCAUGUAAAUCAAGUAAGCACAAAGGGAUAAAUCACAUUCAAAGAGUUACUUCCCUUCAAAGGCAUAUCAACAAGUACACACAAGGGAAUCAUUUAAAGGAUUAUUUUAAAGGCAAUUUUUACUUAUCCUUUCUAUAGUACUUCCUAUUUUGAAAAAAAUAUAUAAAUAGGCACCAAUGGUAACAUAAAAGUAUCAUCAAAACAAGUGUUGAUCAACAUUUAAACACAUGUAAUGCAACUUCCUCUAUCAUUGUGAGGUUAAGAAUAUUCCCUCUUUCUAAACAUGAAUGGAUGGAUAACUAAUACAUUUUCUUGCGUGAUGUCGAUAAGCAUAGAUAUUGCAUGUAAGUACAAAAUUGACAAUCAAGUCACUUAUACAAAAUAAUAUGUUAGGUUCAAUUAAGUUAGGGUAGAAUGUUCUCACACUUAAAUUAGGAGAUACAUUAUAGCUAGUGGUUAACCUAUGUCAAAUUUAGAUAACUAAUAUAAUCUAUAUAUAAAGGUCAUAGGAAGUAGACAUAAAGGAUUUUCUACCACAUAUUGCUCUUGGUAAAACUCACCCAUUUCUUUUGUAAAUCAUGAAUAUAUUUGGAAAUUACUAUAAUCAAGCAUUUAUAUGUCCAAAUUCAUCAUUUUGAAAGACAUUUUCACACAUAGGACAUAUAUAAAUAGAAUUUUAAAAUAAUUAGGUAUAACAAAUCCAUGUGUUAUGUUCUCAUAAGAUGCAAAUCACAAUACACAUCAAUUAAACAUUCAAAUAUCACAUAUUUGCUUCAUACAAAAUUUGAGAUAAGAAAGUUUAGUUUUAAAAGUAUACUUCAAUAGCAUUUCAUCUAUUUACAAUAGUUAUCAUUCUUAUUGUCCAAAAUAAAUGCAAGCUUUACUUUUUCUUCUGUUCUUCAUCUACUCCAUGAUGCAAAGCUGAAAUUGGAAGAUGAGAACUCUAUUUCUUUCUUCUUUCCAAACCUCCAAACUAUUUGGACGAUCAUUUUAUAAGUGUGGCAAUAAUCUUGAUAAUUCUUGAACUUUCUUGAGUACAUCCUUGAAACCUUGAAGUUCUUGAAUUACAUCUUCAGGUUCUUGGAAAUCUUGGGUUGAAUUUUUUAUAAUUCUUGAUGUUCUUGAAUAGCCCUAGUUCAAGUUCUUGAAACUUGCAGCUUGUUUGUGAUUCUUCUUGAAGUUGUGAGUUAAAAAAAAAAAGAGGGAAAGAAGCACAAAAAUGCAGUUCAUUAGCUUCAGCUUUGGUCUGUUAACAAGAAAUCUCCAAAUCAGGUUCGAGUCAUAAGGAUUUCCAAAUAAAAUAGCCACACAUCCAAGCCUUUUCCUAGUUAUCUUUGGUUUCCAAUUAUCUUCGGUUUCCUUCUUUUCUACGAGUCUUUUCCAGUUAUUUUAAAGUCCUAAAGUCAUCUUUUGAGUAACAAAUUCAUCCGGGUCAGUUGUGCUCCUUGCCCUCAUAAAUUGCCAAAAUCUUACUUUAUUUAAGUUUUUAAGUUGGUCAACACUAGAAGGAACUCCAAUUUCUUCAAGGAGUUGAUCGAGAAGCCUUGAGAAUUGAUUUGGUAAGACUAUUAGAGAGACAUAAUUGAGUGAAAACAUGAGAGUUGAGUGCACACACGUGAGGGAGUGUGCAAGGUAAAUCAUCUCUUUCCGUUGCUAACUCAAUUUGACAGCUUUCACUUUUUACAGAAGCAUUAAAAGGAGAUUUGGGGCACAUUAUGGACCAAAAAUUGGAGGCAAUGAACUAGCGGAUUGAUAACUUGGAGAUGUCUCAAGGGAGUUCCAAAGGCAGCCAAGGGAAAACAUUUAUGCAAGAAUCAAGUGACUCCAAUUCUGAGGAUGAAUAUUAAAUAGGCAAAAGAGACCUAAACGUGAUACUAGACCAGUUGGUGACUCUAUUAAGGGCAUCAAGACGAAAAUUCCUCCUUUCCAAGGAAGGUCGAAUCCUGAUGCAUAUUUGGAAUGGGUGAAAUGGAUCGAAUUGGUUUUGAACUACAACACUUACUCUGAGGAACAAAAGUUGAAGUUAGCUAUUAUAGAAUUCACCGAUUAUGCUAUUGUUUGGUAGUGCCAAAUUUCAACUAGUUGAAGGAGAAGUAGAGAAUUACCUAUCCAAACAUGGGCCAAGUUAAGACACCUCAUGAGGAAGCAAUUUGUACCUCAUUAUUACCGUGACUUGUUCCAAAAGCUUCAAACUCUUACUCAAGGAGCUCGAAGUGUUGAGGACUACAACAAAGAGAUGGAAAUCUUGAUGUUACGGGUUGACAUUGUGGAGGAUAGAGAGGCUACAAUGGCUCGUUUCUUGAGUGGGUUAAGGCCUAAAAUUGCGGAGCAAGUGGAAUUACAACAUUAUGUGGAGCUUAGUGACUUGGUGGAGAAAGCCAUCAAGAUUGAGACGAGGUUAAAGAUGAGGGGAUAGCCGAAAAACUACACAAAUUUCUCAUCUUCUUUUACGUGAACAUCAUAGCCAAAGAAGGAAGAAAAAGGAGCAGCCAGUUCAAGUGCCUUAAACCGAAACAAGGGGAUCAAGAUGGAAUUCCAGACCAGCACUUAAGCCUAAUUUUGAUCUGGCUAAGUGAAGGAACCGUGAAAAUAAAUGCUUCAAAUGUCAAGGUAGCGGACAUAUAGCAAGUCAGUGUCUGAAUCAAUGAGUUAUGACUAUUCUACCAAAUGAGGAAAUCAUCACUGAUGAUGAAGUGGAGUACAAAGAUAUGCCACCACUUACGGAGGAAGAAGAAGAGGAAGAGUUGCCAGUUAAUGAGCAAGUUGGACUUGUUGUUAGGCGAGCUUUAACUACUCAUGUUAAGGAGACCGAUAACUUACAAAGAGAAAUAUCUUCUACAACCGAUGCCAUAUUAAAGGCAAAGUGUGUAGCUUGAUAAUAGAUGGAGGGGACUUGUGCUAGCAUUUUAAGUGCUCUAAUAGUGGAGAAAUUAGCAUUUCCAACCUUAUGACAUCCUAAGCCUUAUACGUUGCUGUGGUUAAACGACAGUGGGGAUGUUCAUGUCAUCAAGCAAGUUCAAGUUCUUUUCUACAUUGGAAGGUAUAAAGAUGUGGUCUUAUGCGAUAUAGUCCUAAUGCAAGCUUGCCAUAUCUUGUUUGGAAGGUCAUGGUAGUUUGACAAGAGGAUUAGCUUCGAUGGAAUUUCAAACAAAUAUUAUUUUAAACAUUGUAAUAGAAAGGUCACCCUUGUACCAUUAACUCCUAGCCAAGUGCGUGAAGAUCAAGAGAGACUACAAAAAGAAUGUGAGUUAGAGAAUGAGAGGAAAAAGAAAGAAAAAUUCGAAGGUAUAAAAAAAAGUGAAGCGGUCAAGCAAAAUGAGAGGAAAAAGGCUAUUUAUUAGUUGGCCAAAGAACAAAAACAACAGAGAAAACAAAGUAAGUUGGUAAAAGCCAAGAAAGUGAGGAGAGGUUUUUAUGCUCCGACACACCUUUAUUUGUACUUUUAUGCAAAGUGGUGAUUUUAAUUUCAAGUGACCUUACCAACAGUUUACCUGUGACAACCCUACUUUCCUCAAAGGCAAACCAGAAGGGUCAGCGAACUGCCUGCCCAACUCUCGCCGGGGCUCACUACAAUCCAUAAUUCACAAACUAGAAAUAUUUCAAAUAUUUUCAAUAUACAUUUAAAGUACUCGAAAACAUUAAUGCUUAAAAUUAGCUAACCUUCAAGCUUAAAUACAACCCAAAAGAAUAUAUACUACAGUCAUUGCUAUAAUACAACUUGAAGUCUCCAAAAGAAAACAACUUAGUACUAUUCGUGAGCACUCUCGGUAUUGAAACCCUGUUAAGGAAAACAAAGGAAUGGAAUGAGUUAAACAGCCAAGUGAGGUUCCAAAACACACAAGCAGUUCAAAUAAAUCAAGUAAAUUAAGUAUAACGCACAUACGGUUCAAUGUUUCACAUUGGCACAUUAAAAUGAGACAUUUAUCAUUUUACAGAAAUAAACACACACUAAAAGGAUAUGGUGUUCCCGUGGAACGAUUUCGGUCAGCUUCACCUUAUAACUCCAAUAAUUUUCUCGAUUUGUCUGGCCAUCGCCUUAUUCCUCCAGUGGUAAUACUCGAGUAUACCGAAACGGUAGCUCAGGGUUCCAACCUACUCGACCAAGCCCAGUCCUAGUUUGAGCAGGUUAGCAACCAAGGGCAGGUCUCAGUUCAGCUAAGAGCUUACAACAUGCGCAAGUAAUCAAAUAUACCGGUAAACGGCAGAAAUUCACGGUUAAACGGUAGAAAUUUGUUAUUUUAGUAGGUCGAGUGAGAUAAAAUACACACUCACCUUAAAACGGUGGAAAAUUACAUAGGAGCAAUUAUAGAGAAUACUUAACACUUAAACACACGAGAAAUAUGAAGUAAAUAUAUAGCAAAACUAUUCAAGUCACACACAUGCAGGGAACACUCACCAAUUCAAAAUAAGUGAGUAAAUAAGUCCUUUAGUGCUCCGCUCCGAGGUUUCCUUCAAUCCUCUUGAGCGCCUGAAGAAAUAGUGAGCAAUUAUCACUCACAUAUACUCACAAUCACUUAACAUGCAAGGAAGGAAAUGCAUUUGCUUAAACUUACAAUGCCUCAAAAGAGGUUCACUCUAGUGAAAUUCAAGAUUCAAAAGUGAGGAUUUAAAGUCACAAGGGAAAACUCGUAUCCUCCAUGAAAUGAGUUUAAAACGGAUGAUCGAUAUCGAACGACAAUGAAAAGUUCUCAAAAACUCAUUUCCCAAGAAAUCAUGAAUUUUCAGCUUUGCAUGAUAAACUUGGUAAAAUCAGAUCUUGAGUUUGGUACCUCCAAAAAUUGGGAAACGUUAUAUCGUUGAAAACUAGAUUCAAAGUACUAAAAGUUUCUAGAAGACACUUUUCCAAGAUUCCAAACGGAAAGCAUUCAUUUUUCAGCUCAAAGUUGCUGAUUCAAGAAAGCAAGACAGAACCAGUCUUGGUUUUCGGCGAUGUUUGGAAAUUCGACAAAAUUCACAGAAAAUGAAUCAGUCUAUGAAAUUUAUAACACAAUAAGAGUCCCAAACAAAGUUUCAAACACAAUAAGCGGAACUAAAUUUGGAGUUUUGAGAAACAAGAUAUAACAGUUUGAAGUCGGUUAAUUUUCACAACCUGACCAGUGAAUUUCCAGAUUUACGGAGCAAUGUUUGGGGCAUUAUUUGGGUAUCGAAAUAGCAUUGAAAUCACACCAAAUUUGGUACACUUAAACUUCCAAUAGGUACUACUUAUCUAUAAAAAUUCAGGUAAAAACUCACACGGAAAGGCAGUUAACGAAACGACCAAAAUUUGUAAAAAUUUCAAAGCUAAUCUGCCAACCCUAUUUUUCUUGCUUUUCAAAAGUUUUGUCCAACGAAAUUAGCCCCAAUUGACUCAAUUUUUGAAACCAAGAUCCCAGAAACAUUUAAUAAGCAAUUGAUGAGCAAUUGACUCUAAAAUUUUUGAAAUAUAAUAUCCCAAAACAGAUUUGACUAUUCGGUCAGCAAGGAAGGGAAAAGUUUCCAGUCCAACUUUGUUUGAUACGAAUCCCGUUGGUAUGACGGAGUCCGUGAUCACAAGCCUGGAUCUUGAUGGUGGGAUUCAAGUUUGGAAUUGGCAGCGGAACCUUAUGACCCCUCUAAUCCCCGAGAUUGUGAACAAUAUUGAUAUUAUCUCAACCCACAAACUAACGGAUUAGCGAACCAAAUGUGUUGGUAGAAGCGCGCCACAAUCAAGUGCGAUUCCUGAUUGAUAAGCCAAAAUUGAACACUCAAGAGAACCUCUAAAGUAUUCAAGGGUGUGAGAACCCGAAAAUUUCUUUAUUUCUAAUCAUUAUUUUAGUUUCUUGCAAACAAUUUCUAUACCUUUCUUUAUUAUAUUAAUUUUUGAGAGAUUUUUAUAAGGGAAUUAAGUUGUUAAGACAUUUUUCCGAUACAAGUUAGUCUAUGUGACGUUAGUAGUGUAUAUUGGACGUGGGACCCGCUAGUGCGAUAAAAUUUUGACGACUAGGUGACGUUGUAUUAGAGAAUAUUAUUUUUACAAGGUGCUCGGGGAUAAUUAGAGGUUAGCUAGAUAAAUUAACCAUUGGUAGCCAAAAGGAUGAGAAUAAACCCUAGUGCGCCAUUUGUCGCGAAACCAAUGGAUGGUAGAUUUUGACCAAGACUUUCUUACUUCUACUAAAUACAAAAAUUUGACUAAAAUUUCCUUUUAUUUUGACUCAAUUGCCUUAUGAUAGUUUUACUACUCAUUUACUCCCUCAAUAGGUGUAAUGAAUAAGAGAUUUAAGAGUUCUACCCUUAGUUUUAUAGUUCGGGUAAAUUAGGGUUUUCGCGUAUUUUGGUAGUGUGAUUAAUUGUGGAGGUGUGUGUACUAAAUUUGGUGGUUAAGAGUGAAUUUUAGAUAAGAAAAAGUAUGUGAUUAGAAGUAAUAAUAAUAAGUUAGUGAAUUAUAAGUGAAAACCCUAGUACGCACAAGAUAAGGAAAAAUGAUGUGAACCGACGUAUAACGUUUGUUACCGAGUGAGUACACCACUUGAACACUAUUUUAUUACCUUAAUGUCCUUGAUUGUAUUUCAGUUAAUUAACACUAAAAUAUCUCUUAAACCAGCCACAAUGUUUGACCAAAUAAAAAGAAAAAAAAAGAAAAAAUUGAGCUUUGAUCCUACGGCGACACUUGUCGGAAAUCUACCCAACUUUGACCCAAGUUUCUUACCUUUACUAAAACUCAAAAUUUGACCACAAUUUCCUUCACUUUCUUGUCUUCUUGGCCGAAAAUAGGGAGAGGAAAAAAGAGAGAAAACUUCAUCUUGCAUCUUCAAUUUCUUCCUCAAAUCUUGAGUUCCAACCGUUAAAAUUACAAACUACUCCAUAAAAGUUACUCAUUAAGAAGGUUUAGAGUUUUUGGUGGAGUGAUUUUGGAAGAAGAAACCCUAAACUACCAUCUUUCUUAAGGUUCCAAGGUAACUUGUCUAAAAAUCCUUCUUUGCUCUUAAUAAUUGUAAAUUGGUGGAUUAGAGUUGUUAAAUAUGUAGUUUUGUGAGAAAUUUCAUGGGUUGAAGUAGUGUUAUGAUAAAUUUCAGUUUUUAUGAUGAAUUUUCUGCUCUCACGUGAUGAUUAAUGAUUGGCCAUGGUUUGAUAGUUUUGUUAUGUGACAAAUUAGUGUAUUAUGUGCUAGAUGGACUUGCCUAAAGAAAAUUUCCAACUUAAGGUUGAAACUGCCCUGUUCUGACUUGUUUAAUUCGUCCAUGUUAGAGGCCGAAUUAGACUUAGGUCAAAACAUGAAAGUUGUAGAAAAUGGUAUUAACUAGCUGCCUGAAAUAGUUCAGCUCAAUCGGAGCACGGUAGCAUAUGAAAUGACAAAAAUACCCUUGACUGCCAAAUGUACUAUUUGGUGGACAGUGUUUUGUUUUCUCUGAAAUUGCAUAUUUUGACCUUGAAAAUGAACGAAUUGGGUGUUAAUAUCUUCAUAUGAAAUGUAUUUCUCUAUCUUAGCUUCGAAACGGUGUAAAGUGUACCCCAAUCCGAUAAUCGUAGAUUCGGUUGUGAUCGAAACGCCAAGAGAUGUCAAACCUGUUAUUUUGUUAUUUGUCUUGAACAUUAGUUCCAGUCGCAUUGUUAGCAUUAUUUUGUAAUUGAAUGACAUUGAGCCUAGUGAAAGGCUAUUGUGGCAAGAUUAUUUGUGUGUGAUUAUGGGGUUGAAUUGAGAAAAAUAAUGAAGCCAUAUAUGGCUGAAAAAUAGGUAAAUACAAAGGACGUGCUGCCCAAAUUUUCACUCGAGGGCUAGUUGGAUGUACUCGCGAUUUGAGCGAAAGGUUUUAGGGUUGUUCAUGUUUUUAAGACCAACUGCUACCUUUUCACUCCAAUGCCAUAUUGUUAUCUCUUUGCCCUAGUAGUUAACUUGACUAAAUACACGACUUGUAGUCGAGUCUCAUUUGUGCAUUCCAUUUCCUGGGUUUGUGGAUGGGGGAAACCAUAAUUGUUUUACCUCGGUUGUUGUUAGGAUGUGACGGUGAUUAAAACCAUCCUUUGGGAGAAAACUUUUGAAGUUAUCUUUGCUUGAACUAGUGAGUGUACCACUUCCCUGAUUUGUUGCUUAACUGGUUUAUUUGUACUUGAAAUAUGUGACUUGAAUGACUAUGAACUCUGUUUAUUCUGAAUGAGACGAGGGUGUACUUUAUCGCACUCGUUCUCUUGCCUGUGUGAUCGUUUGCUGUGUGAAUUUGAAUAUGUUAUCUGUGUCUGUUCUGACGUCGUUUGGGGGCUUGUAUCCAACGACCCUUCUGUGACCUCUAAGCUCAAAUCCUGUGGCUAGUUACUCGAGUCGAGCUAGCAAGGGUCUGAUCGAUUAGAUAGCGAGCCACGGUAGUCUAUUUCUGGGAAAUCUUUGGGUAUUGGAGACUCUGAAUUUUUGGUAUACUCGAGUAUUACCACCUCUGUUCUGUGUGUGGUGUUCGGGCCCGGCAAGGGGUAUGUUUGGUGGAUGAAAUUUGAUGUCAAGUGGGGUCUACGGUCAUGUUUGUUUCCUCGAACGUUGAUGGAGCGUCAACGAGUUGGGAUCAAGUACUGCAACGGGAAUUUGGCUCUUGAGAGCCACCUGUAUCCUUUCUAUCUGAGGUGUUUGUUCAUUUCCUUAUAUGAUGUGUAUAUGUGCCUUAAAAGUGAAAUGCCAUGAUUCUUGACUACUUGUACUUGUGGUACCUCAUUGAGUGUAAACUCACCCCAUUUCCGUUAUCUUUGUUUUCCUUACAGGGUUCAAUAUUUUGAGAGUUAUGAUUUUUGAAGAAAGAGUCGAGCUAGUGUAGACAUUCUUUUGAUCAUGCUCCUCUAUAACCGAAACCCUAAUUAUAUUUUGUAUACGUAUGGUUACUAUGGCUUGUAUUUCAAGUUAAUUUGUUGAAGACUCGGAUGUAUAUAUGUAUAUAAGUGUGUAAUCAGGUGUUUCAAGCGAAUUCGUUUGAGAUUGUACGUUUCUAUGGUUAUGUGAACUUUCUUGUAUCCAUUGGAGAAAUCGAGCGAGUGUGAAGCUUGAACGAGGAAGAAAAAAAUUUGGUCGGAUUUUGACAUGGCUGCGGUCCUUCGCGCUUUCCGAUGAUUCAUUUUCCCAAAGUUCUUUGGACUGUUUGGUAUGGUUUAUGAGUGAUUUGAUCUGUAGUUCUGGCGAGAGUUGGGCAGGCCGUCCACCGACCCUUUGGUUCGCCUUAGGGGAAGGUGGGGCCGUCACAGAUGGUAUCAGAGCUGCUUCGCGUGGUCUCUGUGCGAAGUGAGCUUGGGCCAAGUGGUGAAUAAGUGUAAAGGACUAAGUGCUCUUUUGAGCAUAAGUUAUGGAUCGUGAAAUGCUAUAGGUUUCAAACCUUUCUCGUGGUACUUGGAAAUAAUAGAUAUGCAUGUCAGGUAGGAAUCUCAAAUGUAGAUGAUUUACUCUUGGGGACUUGUUAGCUCGAGUUGUGAAUUAUCUUAUUUUAGAUUCUUGUACCCGAAUACUAAAGAUGAGAGCCUAGGUUAGAAAUAACUUGGGCGAGCUAGAACUUUGAUUCUACUAAACUUCGUGUGAUGUGUUAAGGUAUCAUUAAGUAUGAUUAACCCUAUCUACGAUAUAAACUGCGUUAUUUUUGUUGGUUACAGAUGGAGCUCCUAGAGAGGGAGACGCACCUAGUUCUACCCAUGAGGGAGAGUUCGUCAACUCUAUUGGGAACUAGGUUAGACCUCCUGUAAGCCAAGUUUGAUUCCAUAUGAGGGGCAGUUAGGAAAGCUCAGAUGCUUUUGUACUUCUGGCCUAGUUUGUAUAUUGUACUUUUGAAUGACCCCCUACUUCCAUGGGAUUACUUUUGUUUGUAUCUGACUGUUACUAUGUGACAUAUAUGUUAAAACUGUGUUAACUGUUUGAUUUUUUUGACUUGUGUGUAUUGUUGUAACUUGUCCAUGUAUUUAUCACUAUUUCAUAUUACCUUCGUGCUUCAACCUUAGAUUGGUUAAAUCGAAUGGAGGGUACUCGUAGUGGACGAGGCCAUGGGCGCAGAUUUAGGCAACCUGUGAAUGAAGAGGGUAACCAUGAACCGGUACUUGAACAGAAUCCUGGACCGGGGAUUGACCCUAAUGUUCAGGUAGCCGCCGCUAUUCAGCGUAUGACCAAUCUGUUGGCCCAUAUAGUGGAGCGUCAGGGCCAAAACCCUAUUCCUUAACCUGAAAACCUUGGAAACCUUGUAGAGGGUGAGGAUAGGGCCCUUGAAUGAUUUCAAAAGUUCUCUCCACUACAAUUUAUUGGAGGACCAGACCCAGAUGUGGCCGAGAAGUGAUUGGAGAAGAUGAUUGAUAUUUUCGCUGCUCUGCAUUAUACUGAAGAGAGACAAGUAACAUUUGCUGUCUUCCAGUUGGAGGGAGCAGCCCGUUCCUGGUGGAAUGUGAUCAGAACGAAGUGGGAGAGAGAGCAAACACCAAGGACUUGGGUCAAUUUCAUGAGAGAGUUCAAUGCCAAGUAUUUUCCUCCUUUAGUUCAAGAACAAAAGGAGGAUGAGUUCAUUAGGUUUCGUUAGGGAGCUCAAACCGUGGCAGAAUACAAGAGCCACUUUACUAGGUUGUAUAAGUUCGCUCCUGAACUUAUUGUGACCGAGCAGAGGAGGAUACGGCGAUUUAUUCAGGGGUUGAACAUUGAGAUUCAAAAGGAUUUAGCCGUACUCCAGAUCAAUAUAUUUAGUGAUGCUGUAGAGAAAGCCCUAUGGUUUGAAAAUGCAAGAUUUCAAGUUAGAACCUUCCAAGCGAAGAAACGGGGAUGGCCUGGAAGUAGCUCGGGACAAGAGGAUGAAAGUACCCCUCCCAAGUCUGGAAGUGUUAGGAUCGAAGACAACCAAUCGAAAAGCCAAUCGAUAAGCAAUUAAAAGAUCGCAAUAUAACAAUAAGUAAAUAAAAGGGAAAGAAUUGCAAACCAAUUAACUACCCAACUCCUCUUGAGCUUGUAGAUUAAUUCAAAUAAGCUUCUUCAAAUUGAUGAAUUACAAUCACUCUUGCGUACAAAGGAACGUUCACCUCCUUCUUGUCCCGAACACUACUCGGUCAAGCCAGGACGUUUUACUAUCCCUCAGAACAACCCUCACAGAGCUACACUCAUGAAAGAUUCACUCACAAAUGAAAAGCUUACAAUGAAUCUCACACCACUAAGACUACAAAUCUUCUUUGAUGAGUAUUUUCUCACUAAAAUCACUCUAGAUCUUUUGUAUCUUUAGUGUGCAAAAGUUGUUUGAAGUAUCUGACCAACCACUAUUUAUAUAGGAUCAAGAAAGUGCCUCAUUAAUGUUUCCAACGGAUAAAAAGUAGCUGAAGAGUCAACUAGCCGUUGGAGUGUCGGACGUCCGAUAGCCCUGUUUUAUGCGUCCGACAGCAGGUAGUGAGUUGAAGAGAUUUUCUUCAAUUCUUUCGGACGUCCGAUGCAAGCUUUUUGUGCGUCCGACAGAAAACAAAGAGAUUUGAGAAAUUAUCUUGUUUCUAUCGGACGUCCGGUAGAGACAUAUUCAGCGUCCGAUAGAUUCGUCGACUUCGAAGGAUCUUAUUGGACGUCCGAAGCAUUCGUCCGAAGUUGUGCAAUGAUUAUCGGACGUCCGGUACUGUCUUCUUGAGCAUCCGACAGGUUCAACAUACUCUGUCUUUUUCAAAUGUGCUUAAUCUUUGAACCUGAUUUGUUUCAUUUCUGAAAAAGCCUUUGAGGAGAUGUUAGCAACAUUCAUUUGUUUUGUAAUCAUCAAAAGUUAGGAACCAAGGUCAACAUUCUCCCUCUUUUUGAUGAUGACAAAACAAUGGAUGGAAGAAAAAAAAAUUGAGCAUAUAAGCAUAAGCUCCCCCUCACACAAUGCAUCUAAACUUAUGGAUUCAGAAUAACUCCCCCUUACACAUAACAUCCAUUUCUCCCCCUUUUUGUCAUCAUAAGAUUAGAGUAAAAAUCAGCUACCAAAAAUCAGCAACAAUAACAGAGAAUCCAAUAAUCUAAAUAAAAAACAGAGAAAUGACAGCAAUCACAGCAAAUCAUCAUGAGAUCAGCAUUAUUCUUUUUUCUCUCUUUUUGACAUCAUAUAAAUUCAAUAAUAUUAAAAAAUAUCAAGAAAAAAAAACAGUUCUAAGCAUCAGAAACUUCAAAAAAGAAUUACAGAAAAGCAUUAUGAACAAGAAUCUCAUCAAUUUUACCAAUAUCCCCUACUUGUUAGAGUUAGCAUCAUGUUUAACUAUCCACAUGCAUUUCAUGCCUCUUCUCAUGUUUUUCCUCACAUAACAAUCACUUUUCAUGUGACCUUUUUGACAACAAAAAUUACACAUAACCAAAGAGUUAUUCACAUGAACGGGUUUAAUAAAUCUGACUUGCCUUAUCCUAUGGAUAGCAAACUCAUUUGCAUAUUGAUUCAGUCUUAUCUGAUGAGUGCCAAAAUGAGGUUUUGAUUUAUUAUUUUGAAAACAAUCUUAUUUUUUAUAUUGGAGCAACUCAUUUAAACCAUCCAUUCUUCUUUUCAAAUCAUCUUGUUCCUUUUUGAACAAUUCACAAAGCUUUAUUUUUCUAUCUGUAAGUCCCAAAGACAACCAAGAGGGGGGGUGAAUUGGGUUAUUCAAAAUCUUAAUCAGAUUUAGGCAAUUUUUGCUAAAUGAAAAUUUCCUUCUUUUCUAGUAAUGAUCAACCAAGUAGAUUAGAAGACAAGAGCAAUAUUGAUCAGAAACACAAGUAUAGACAAGAAAUGAGAAUUUUAUUAAACAGAAAAGUAAAUUGGGGAAUCAAACCAAGUGUCUACCAAGCUAUCCUCAAACUUGAAGACCACACACUAGGAAGAGCAACUUCUCUUUGAUGGAAGACGAUCAACUAGAUGUACAAUGGAGGGAGCACUUCCUCCUUGCCCUAAGCCUCACUUAGUCAAGCUAAGAAGUUUUACAAUCACUCAGAAAACCCUCAACAAAGCUACACUAAAGAUCCUUUCAAUCACAAAAGAAAUGCUCACCAGAAAUUCACACCACUUUAAAACAAAUCUUGCUUUGGAGACUAUUUUCUAGCUAAAAUAUCUCUUGAGAUCUUGUAAACAAAGUGUGCAAAAGUUCUCCCUUCGUUCAGAACAGUUUGUUUUUAAAGGGGAACAGAAAUGAGCUUCAUUAAAGCUUCCAACGGAUAGAAGGCAGAUGAAGGGUCAGCUAGCCGUUGGGGCUUUCGGACGUCCGACGAUCAAAUCAUCGUCCGAACCAAUCGUCCGAAAAUAGCCAAGUUGAAGUUCGGACGUCCGAUGAGAUUUUUGUCGUCCGACAGCACAGCGUCCGAUCGUAGGCCGAGAGCUAGCAAGUUAUCUUGAAAUUUUUCGGACGUCCGAUCUGGUUGAUAUGCGUCCGAGGUGUGCGUCCGAUCCUUCCGGACGUCCGACAGUUUCCUUUCGGCCGUCCGACCUGAUUGUCCUGUUUUUGCUUCUCAUUUUGGUUGUCUUGCAUUUCAUGACAUAUUUGAACCUGAUUCUUGGAUAGACAGAAACACUUGUAUUUGAAGGAGGUUAGAUAAACAUUUCAAAGUACCAAAAAUGACCAACUAGACAUACUUAAAAGACAGUAUCUUUGAUCGGAACAAAACAAUGACUAAAUUCAUUUAUAUUAUUUCAAUCUUGUUUGCCACAUCCAAAGCAUCGUAGACUGGAGUCAAUCAAACAUAUGCUUUCCUUGUUCCAUCAGGCCUGAUCAAUCUUGGUCAGUAUAAACGAACUUUUGUGAUCAUCAAAACCAAGAAUAACAUUCUCCCCCUUUUUGAUGAUGACAAAACAAAAGUUUGAAAUGAAAUUUUAUGAUUGCAAUGAAAACUCCCCCUUUCAAAAUAGACAAGAACUCCCCCUGUCUUAGUGAAUCACAAAAUUUGAAAAUUUUGAAAAACUCCCCCUCACAAAGCUGCCCAUCCGAGUUAAACAAUUAAGCAUAUCAUCCACUCCAAAUUUAAACAAUCAAUCCAACAUAUCCUAACAUCACCAAUCAUCAAUCAUGCCAACAUCACCAAUUAUCAAUCAUCACUCAAUCCAAUCAUUUGAUACCAUAUCUCCCCCUUUUUGUCAUCACAAACGGGCAACCAAUCACAUCAACAUAUCCACAAAUUCACAAAUUUAGACAAGUUCACACAUCAAAACUUAGACCAUCAAUCAGAAUAGACAAUCCACGAAUUCAUUACAUUCACAUAAGCAGAAUAGACAAUCAUUCAUCAAAAUAUUCAGACAUCCAUCAAAACAGUACUUAAACAUCCAAAACGAAACUUAAAAUAUCCAUUACAUUACAUAUUCAUUGUUGAAUACCACGAAAACAUAAAAGAGACAAACAAAAUGCAAAUGUCCUAAAUGAUGAACUAAGUGGAUCCAGGUGUCCUCCGAGAGAGCUGAUAUUGAUCAAGAUCCUCCUCUUCAGUUUCUUCAUCAUCUUCAGCAGCCUCUUCAACUGGUGCCUUGCCUUUAUCUGAUGUAGAGGUGCCAUGAGGUGUCACAGGGGUUGAAGAACCAGGAUCCGGAAUUGAUGAACUUGGAUCAGUGGGGUGUGACUCUUUGUCAUGGGAAACUUCCUCAACUACAGGGGGGGGGAAACAGGAGGUUCUUUUUGUCUAGGAAGGCAGUUUGUUGCUCAGAGGACAUAGUGAGCAUUAGACCAUGUUCUAGAAGAAGAACAUGCUGUUUGAGUUCACGAAGGAGCUCAAUUACUUCAUCACUGGAAGAGGAAGAUGCCUUAGAGGCAUAUUUCCUAGGAUGAAUAGAAGUGAGUGGAAUAGAUGAAGGAUCAUGUGCAGCCUUAGACCUAAGUUCACUAGAAGAUGCACCCUUAUAAGCCCACAGAUUAUCUUUGAAAACAAGAUUUUUCCUUUCAAAAUACCCUUUUGUAAAGGCAUAAGAAGAUGCUUCUUUAGGACAAACACCUAGAAUAGGGACUUUGUUAAACUCAAAAAUCUUUUGAAGAAACUUUCCAUAAGAUAAUUUUCUGCGAGAAUCAGUGGCAUAGCGAAGUAAGAACUUGCACAUGACAAAACCAAAAUCAAUACGAAUUUUUUCUUGAAAACAAUAAAAGAGGUACAACUCCAUUUUGUUUGCAUCAGUUCUAUGACCAUCAGUAGGCACAAGCAGGUUUGAAAUGAUAGAAAAAGCAAUUAAAUUCACAGGGGCCAGAUCAUUCAAUUUAGCAUCAGCAGGUGAGGAAAAACUUCUUUUGAAAUAGGUUAACAUUUUUGUCCCAUCAAAAUGAUUUGCCACAGUCGGGAGCUCUUCAUAGGAAAAGAAAUUAGCAAUCUUAUCUUUGCAUAAACGUUCAAUGGUAGUAUUUAAAAUGGAGUUCACAAUUUCAGAGUCAAUGAUUAAGUCUACCCCAUUAACCCUGGAAAAUAUUUCAGUUGGGUCAGAACCUUUCCUUAGAUUGGCAAAAAAUUGAUGCAACAUAUCAGGAUAGUAGACAUUUGGCAUAGAAAUAAGAUGUGACCAUUUCUGGAAAGCAAAUAGACUCAGAAUGGAUUCUAAACCUAUGGAGCGAAAUUCAGAGGGGUUUACAGUUCUUUGAGGGAUGACACCCUUCUGGGAUAUCCAGGAGUAUUUGUCUUUCGCAGCAUCAUCAAAGAAUGUAGGAGGAGGGGCUGAUUUUGGAGGCGGUUGAGAAGAUGUCCCCUGUCCAGAUUCAGGCUGAGAGGAGGGUUGUGGUGUAGGCCGUGACAUUUGACCCUUGAUAGCUCCUCUUUUGAAGCGUUUGGAUGUCCGUUUGACAGUGGGAAGACUCUCAUCCUCAUCCCUGAGUGGAUGCUUGCGUCCGGCAGUAACUUUUCCUCCCCUUAGAUUCACCAUUGUGCGAAAUGUGUGGAAUGAGGGAUGCAAAUGAUGCACACAGCAGUAGGGAAGUGAAUCGCACAGAAAUUUUGGGACACAAAGUCCUUGAACAAGAUUUGGCAGAGCGGUUAUGAGAAAGUAGGGUUUUGAGGGAAAUUUGGGAAUUUACGAAAUGUUUUGCGAUUCGAUGAAAUAAUUAGGAGAAAUGAAUCGCAAUCAAUCAGGAAAAGUUUUGUUUGAGUCAAUUUGGGAAUGAGAGCUUCAGAAUGGUAUGAAUUUGAGAGUGAGAAAUGAGAGGGUUUUCGUCCGAGAGGAAAUAGAAAAGAAGAGUUUGAAGCAAAUAAGGGAGAAAGUUAAUUUAAAAAGUGAGCCGUUGCACUGUCGGACGGCCGAACGAAGUUGUGCGUCCGACAGUUGCGUCCGAACAGGCGCAAUUCUGGAAAAUGGCUGAAGAACAUCAUCGGACGUCCGUUCAUCUUCUUUCGGACGUCCGAAGACUUUGAGAAAUUUUAGGAUGAUUUUUCGAUUAUUCCUAAUUUUGAUCUUAGAUGAAUGAACUGAUCUAAUGGCAGAGCUUUGGUAAAAAUAUCAGCAAAUUGAUCUUUAGAACAAACAUAAUUUACACAUAUGUCACCUUUUUGAACAAGAUCACGAAUAAAGUGAUGCUUUAUAUCUAUGUGCUUUGUCCUAGAAUGAUGAAUAGGAUUUUUGGUCAAAUUUAUAGCACUAGUAUUAUCACAGAAUACAGGCAUGCAGUCAUACAUCAAUCCAAAAUCAUUCAAAGUGUGCUUCAUCCAUAAAAGUUGAGCACAACAUGCACUAGCGGCAAUAUAUUCCGCUUCGGUUGUAGACAAAGAUAUUGCAUUUUGCUUUUUGCUAAACCAAGAGACUAAACAAUUUCCAAGAAAAUGACAAGUUCCACUAGUACUCUUUCUAUCCACACGACAACCUCCAAAAUCAGCAUCCGAAUAACCGUAUAGUGCAAACUCAUUAGAUCUAGCAUACCAAAGACCAUAGUCUAAUGUACCUUUCAAAUACCUAAAAAUUCUUUUUACAGCAUUCAAAUGUGAUUCUUUUGGACAAGAUUGAAAUCUAGCACACAAGCAAACAGCAAACAUAAUAUCAGGUCUACUUGCGGUUAAAUAGAGUAGGCUUCCGAUCAUACCUCUAUAUUGCUUUUCAUCCACAUGAUUACCUUCUUCAUCUUUGUCAAGCUUUGUAGAAGUGCACAUUGGAGUUCCAACUUGCUUUGAGUCCUCCAUGCCAAACCUUUUCAGCAACUCCUUGGUAUAUUUUGCUUGAUUUAUAAAAAUUCCCUCAAGAGCUUGAUGUAUUUGAAGUCCAAGGAAGAAAUUUAAUUCUCCCAUCAUACUCAUUUCAAAUUCACUUUGCAUAGUGGUGGAAAAAUCCUUGCAUAGAUACUCAUUAGUAGCACCAAAAAUAAUAUCAUCAACAUAUAUUUGCACAAUAAGAAGGUCAUUCAACACUUGCUUAGUAAAAGUGUGGUGUCCACAACACCCCUUUUGAAACCAUUUUCAAUCAAAAAACCACUUAGUCUUUCAUACCAAGCUCUUGGAGCUUGUUUUAGACCAUAUAAAGCUUUAGAUAGUUUAAACACAUGACUUGGAAAUUUUGUAUUUUCAAAACCGGGGGGUUGAUCCACAUAUACUUCUUGAUCAAUAAAACCAUUUAAAAAGGCACUUUUAACAUCCAUUUGAAACAAUUUGAAGCCUUUAAAGCAUGCAAAAGCAAGAAGCAUUCUAAUAGAUUCUAAUCUUGCUACGGGAGCAAAUGUUUCAUCAAAAUCAAUUCCUUCUUCUUGUGCAUAUCCUUUAGCAACUAAUCUGGCUUUAUUUCUUACAACAACACCUUUAUCAUCUAACUUAUUUCUAAAAAUCCACUUUGUGCCAAUGAUAGGUUGAUUUUGAGGUCUAUCAACAAGUGUCCAAACUUCAUUCCUCUCAAAUUGAUUAAGUUCCUCUUGCAUUGCCAAAAUCCAGUUUUCAUCCUUUAAAGCAUCAUUGACAUUUUUGGGUUCAAAAAGAGACACUAAAGCAAAAUUGUCAAUCAAUUUUCUAGAUGAGGAACGAGUGUUUACCUUCUCGGAUGGAUCACCAAUUAUAAGCUCUUUUGGAUGAUUUUGGCUGAAUUUCCAAGCCUUGGGAAGAUCUUUGAGUGAAUCGUCAUUUUUGUCUUCAUCUUCCUCUUCUUGAUCAUUAUGAACUUCAUUUUCCAUUUCAGUUGCUGCUGGUUUAGAACUUCCUUCAUUUACAAUUGACAGCUUUUCCAUUCCUGCUCGAACACCUACAUCAUCAUCCUCACACGGACUUUUGGAAUUAUCAUCAUUGGUUUCAUCAAAUGUUAUAUGUAUAGCUUCUUCAAUCACAAGAGUCCUUCUAUUAAAAACUCUAUAUCCUCUUUUAUUCUCACAAUACCUCAAAAAUAUUCCUUCAUCAGAUUUUUUAUCAAACUUACCAAGAUGUUCCUUUAGAUUCAAAAUAAAACAUUUACAACCAAAUACUUUGAAAUAACCAACUGUAGGUUUCUUAUCAAAAAUCAGCUCAUAAGGAGUUUUCUUUAAGAUAGGUCUCAAGAGAAUUCUAUUCAUCACAUAACAUGCAGUGUUUACUGCUUCAGCCCAAAGAUAUUUAGGCAACCUACAUUCAUUUAACAUAGUUCUAGCAGCCUCUUGGAGAGUCCUGUUUUUCCUUUCUACAACACCAUUUUGCUGUGGAGUUCUUGCAAUAGAAAACUCAUGAGUUAUGCCAUUAUGAUCACAAAAUUCUGGAAAACCACAAUACUUGAAUUCUGUUCCAUUAUCACUUCUAAUUCUAACAAUUUUUAAUCCAAGCAGAUUUUGCACUUUAGCAAACAAUGAAGUGAAAUUCUUGAAUGCAUCAUCCUUAUGAGCAAGAAAUAUUACCCAAGUGUAUCUAGAAUAAUCAUCUACAAUCACAAAACAGUAUUUCUUACCACCCAAGCUAGAGAUUUGAGUAGGGCCAAAUAAGUCAAGAUGCAAGAGUUCUAAAGGUUUGGAAGUAGAUACACACUUCUUUGGUUUAAAAGAAACUUUUGUUUGCUUUCCAAAUUGACAUGCAUCACAUAUUUUAUCCUUUUCAAAACUGAUUUUUGGCAAGCCUCUAACUAGCUCCUUUUUCGAAAUUUCCUUUAGUAACUCCAUGUUAAAAUGACAAAGUCUUCUAUGCCACAACCAAGGAUCUUCAUUUGAAGCUUUAAGACAUGUUAAGCUAGAAGAAUCAAUUUUAUCAAGAACCACAAUAUAUAUGUCGUUGAACCUCUUACCUUUGAACACAACAUUGUAUUUGGAAUCAAGCACAAUGCAUUCAUGUUUUCUAAACAACACAUUCAAGUCUUUAUCACACAAUUGACUAACACUAAGCAAAUUAUAACUCAAGUUAUCAACUAAGAGCACAUUAUGAACAAAAGUUUCACCAUCCUUACCAACAUCACCUAUUCCAAUUGUUUUAGCUUUCACAUCAUCACCAAAUGUCACUUUUCCACUUGAUCUUGAUUUCAGCUUUAUGAACAAAGAGGGAUCACCGGUCAUAUGCCUUGAACAACCGCUAUCAAUGAACCAUUUGGACUUGUGUGAGCAUUUUUCCUGAAAAGAGAAAGUGUUUGGUACCCAUUUUAAUUUUUGGGUCCAUAAUAGUUAGCAUUAUAUCUAACUAACCACAUGCAUUUCAUCCCUUUGUUCAGAUUUCUUUUCACAUAGCAAUCACUUUUCAAAUGCCCUCUUUGACAACAAAAACCACACAUAAUGGAAGAGUCCUUAACAUGUACUGGUUUGACAUAUCUUAAUCCACCUUUUCUAUAUGUUGUGAAACCAUGUGCAUUUUUGUUGUGUGCAAAUGUUCUUUGAAAAAUAGUAGGAUGUGUAGGUGACAUGUUCCUUUUGAUAAACUCCUGCUUUCUUGCUUUCAAAGUCUCAUCCAAGUUGUCCAUUCUCCUUUUUAAAUCACCAUGUCUUUCCUUCAGCAUUUUACAAAUAUUUGUCUUUCUAUCAAGCUCAUUCUGAACAUCAAAUCCGGCUCUUACAAGACAUUCAUUGUCAGUUUUUAGUUGUUUAUUUUGUUGAAGGAGACAUGCAUUUUCAUGAAUGAGAAAAGCAAUUUUCUGUUUUAGCUGCUUGUUCUUAUCAUAAGAUUCCUUCAAAGCAUUAUGCAGUUUUUCAACAAAGGAUUCAAGAUCAUCAUCUUCUUCAUCAUCACUUUCAGAUUGAGAGUGUAUGGAAGUUACCUCAUUAUCUCCAAUAGCCAUGAAGGCCAUUUGAGCUGAUUCUUCCUCUUCUUCAACUUCCCCUUCAGAGUUGCAUUCAUUCCAAGUAAUCUGGAAGUUGUUGAAUCUUGGCUUUCGAUCAGCUUUUCCAUCUUUCAUUUUCUUCAUGGGGCAUUCGUUUGCAUAGUGUCCAGGCUGUCCACAUUCAUAGCAUUUGUCCACUUGCUUCUUGUUGAAUUCUUGUUUUCCUUUGUUCCUUGCAUUUGAUGAAUAAUUUUGGAAUUGAUUGCUAGGUCCUCCCUUUCUGAACUUCCUUUUAUUCAAGAUUCUUUUGAAGCCUCUUGUGAUGGGAGCAAGAUCAUUAUCAUCACCAUCCGAAUCUUCAUCAUCCAAGUGAGCUGGAUCAUCUUCACUUUGAGUAGUCUUUAGAGCAAUAUUUCUUUUUGCUCUAGCAUCCUCUUCCUCCUGCACUUUAGAUUUCAGUUUUAACUCAUAAGAGGUUAGUGAGUUAAUGAUAGAUUCAAUAGGCACAGAACUUAAAUCCUUAGCCUCCUCUAUUGCAGUCACUUUAUUUUCCCAUUCUUUGCCCAAUGCAUUGAGAAUUUUUCUGUUCUUCUCUCCCAAGGUGUACUCUUUGCCCAACACCUCGAGAUCUUUGAUCAAGUCAGUGAACCUGCAAAACAUUUUGUCAAUAUCCUCAAGAGGUUCAAUCUUAAAAGAUUCAUACUUUGUGACCAAGAUGGCCUUUCUCUGUUCUCUCACAUUGUCACCACCCUCAUGGAUUUCUCUUAACUUAUCCCACAUUUCUUUGGCUGAUUUACAGCCUUUCACUCUAAUUGAUUCAUUUGAAUCUAAGGCACUAUAAAGAACAUUCAUGGCCUUGGCAUUCAAUGUGAGGUUAGUCCUGUCUUGAGCAUUCAUUUCAGCUCUCAUUUUUGGCCGAAGCAGCCCUGUAUCUGCAUCAAGAAAGUUAGCUUCAUGCGGUCCUUCACUCACAAUAAACCACAGUUCAAUAUCAAUAGAUUGCAAAAAAAUAAUCAUCCGUUCUUUCCAGCUAACAUAGUUGGAGCCACUGAACAUGGGAGGCCUAGUAACAGAUUGCCCCUCAACAAACAUAGCAUGACUGGUUGUCAUCUUUACUCCAAGCCGUUAGAGCUUAAUCUCAAGGAGACCAAGCUCUGAUACCAAUUGUAAGUCCCAAAGACAACCAAGAGGGGGGGUGAAUUGGGUUAUUCAAAAUCUUAAUCAGAUUUAGGCAAUUUUUGCUAAAUGAAAAUUUCCUUCUUUUCUAGUAAUGAUCAACCAAGUAGAUUAGAAGACAAGAGCAAUAUUGAUCAGAAACACAAGUAUAGACAAGCAAUGAGAAUUUUAUUAAACAGAAAAGUAAAUUGGGGAAUCAAACCAAGUGUCUACCAAGCUAUCCUCAAACUUGAAGACCACACACUAGGAAGAGCAACUUCUCUUUGAUGGAAGACGAUCAACUAGAUGUACAAUGGAGGGAGCACUUCCUCCUUGCCCUAAGCCUCACUUAGUCAAGCUAAGAAGUUUUACAAUCACUCAGAAAACCCUCAACAAAGCUACACUAAAGAUCCUUUCAAUCACAAAAGAAAUGCUCACCAGAAAUUCACACCACUUUAAAACAAAUCUUGCUUUGGAGACUAUUUUCUAGCUAAAAUAUCUCUUGAGAUCUUGUAAACAAAGUGUGCAAAAGUUCUCCCUUCGUUCAGAACAGUUUGUUUUUAAAGGGGAACAGAAAUGAGCUUCAUUAAAGCUUCCAACGGAUAGAAGGCAGAUGAAGGGUCAGCUAGCCGUUGGGGCUUUCGGACGUCCGACGAUCAAAUCAUCGUCCGAACCAAUCGUCCGAAAAUAGCCAAGUUGAAGUUCGGACGUCCGAUGAGAUUUUUGUCGUCCGACAGCACAGCGUCCGAUCGUAGGCCGAGAGCUAGCAAGUUAUCUUGGAAUUUUUCGGACGUCCGAUCUGGUUGAUAUGCGUCCGAGGUGUGCGUCCGAUCCUUCCGGACGUCCGACAGUUUCCUUUCGGCCGUCCGACCUGAUUGUCCUGUUUUUGCUUCUCAUUUUGGUUGUCUUGCAUUUCAUGACAUAUUUGAACCUGAUUCUUGGAUAGACAGAAACACUUGUAUUUGAAGGAGGUUAGAUAAACAUUUCAAAGUACCAAGAAUGACCAACUAGACAUACUUAAAAGACAGUAUCUUUGAUCGGAACAAAACAAUGACUAAAUUCAUUUAUAUUAUUUCAAUCUUGUUUGCCACAUCCAAAGCAUCGUAGACUGGAGUCAAUCAAACAUAUGCUUUCCUUGUUCCAUCAGGCCUGAUCAAUCUUGGUCAGUAUAAACGAACUUUUGUGAUCAUCAAAACCAAGAAUAACACUAUCAAGCUCAAAGUGUGAAGCAGUCUCACUCUUUUUGAAGAAAUCAUUUUCAGCAUUCAGUUUUUUAUUUUGUUGAAAAAGAUUUGCAUUAUCUCGAAACAAAAAACUAAUUUUCUGUUUUAACUCCUUGUUUCUAGCAUAAGAUUCUUUCAAACUAUCAUGCAAUUUUAUAAUGAAAGAUUCAAGAUCAUCAUCAGUUUCAUCAUCACUUUCAAAUUGAGAGUUACAAGUUGUUACCUCAUCAUCUCCAAUGACCAUGAAAGCCAAUUGAGCAGAUUCUUUUUCCUCUUCAAUUUCACCAUCGGAGUUGCAUUCAUUCCAUGUGAACUGGAAGUUAUUGAAUCUGGGUUUUCUUUCACCUUUUCUCUUCUUCACUGGACACUCACUUGCAUAAUGUCCAGGUUGACCGCAUUCAAAGCACUUGUCAUCUUGCUUUUUGUUGGCCUCAUAUCUUCCUUUAUUUCUUGCAUUGUUGAAUUGAUUAGAAUCUGAAUUGAUAGAUCCUCCUCUUCUAAAUCUCUUUUUGUUGAGAAUCCUCUUGAAACUUCUUGUGAUGAGAGCAAGAUCACUGUCAUCAACUUCAACAUCUUCUUCAUCUAGGGAGGCAGAAUCAUCUUCAUCUUGAGAUGCCUUUAAAGCAAUGCUCCUUCUUACUUUCGCAUCCUCCUCCUCUUGCACUUUGGAUUUAAGUUUCAGCUCAUAAGAGAUUAGAGAAUUAACAAGAGAUUCAAUAGGCAUAGUAUUCAAAUCUUUAGCCUCCUCAAUAGCAGUCACUUUAUUUUUCCAAUCAUUGGACAAGACAUUCAGAAUUUUUCUAUUUUUCUCACCUAGAGAAUAUUCUUUUUCCAGCACCUCUAAGUCCUUAAUGAGGUCAUUGAAUCUACAGUACAUCUCAUCAAUGUUUUCAUGAGGUUCUAUCUUGAACGAUUCAUACUUGGUAACCAGAAUGGACUUCUUUUGUUCUCUAACAUUCUCACUACCUUCAUGAAUUUCUCUCAGUUUAUCCCAAAUUUCCUUGGCUGACUUGCAGCCUUUGACUCUAAUAGAUUCAUUUGAGUCUAAAGUACAAUGUAACACAUUCAUGGCUUUUGCAUUUAAGGUGAGAUGAGCUCUAUCCAUAGCAGUCAGUUCAUUUCUUAUUUUUGGUCUAGAUCUAUGAGUAUUUUCAUCUAUAAGAGAGACAUCAUAUGGACCUUCACUAAUAAUAAACCACAAUUCAAUAUCAAUAGAUUGCAAAAAAAUAAUCAUUCUUUCUUUCCAACUCAUAUAAUUUGACCAAUUAAACAUAGGUGAUCUAAUGACAGAAUGUCCUUCAAAAAACAUAGCAUUAUUGGUUGUCAUCUUUACUCCAAAGCCGAUUGAGCUUAAACUCAAGGAGACCAAACUCUGAUACCAAUUGUUAGGAUCGAAGACAACCAAUCGAAAAGCCAAUCGAUAAACAAUUAAAAGAUCGCAAUAUAACAAUAAGUAAAUAAAAGGGAAAGAAUUACAAACCAAUUAACUACCCAACUCCUCUUGAGCUUGUAGAUUAAUUCAAAUAAACUUCUUCAAAUUGAUGAAUUACAAUCACUCUUGCGUACAAAGGAAGGUUCACCUCCUCCUUGCCCCCGAACACCACUCGGUCAAGCCAGGACGUUUUACUAUCCCUCAGGACAACCCUCACAGAGCUACACUCAUGAAAGAUUCACUCACAAAUGAAAAGCUUACAAUGAAUCUCACACCACUAAGACUUCAAAUCUUCUUUGAUGAGUAUUUUCUCACUAAAAUCACUCUAGAUCUUUUGUAUCUUUAGUGUGCAAAAGUUGUUUGAAGUAUCUGACCAAUCACUAUUUAUAUAGGAUCAAGAAAGUGCCUCAUUAAUGUUUCCAACGGAUAGAAAGUAGCUGAAGAGUUAACUAGCCGUUGGAGUGUCGGACGUCCGUUAGCCCUGUUUUAUGCGUCCGACAGCAGGCAGUGAGUUGAAGAGAUUUUCUUCAAUUCUUUCGGACGUCCGAUGCAAGCUUUUUGUGCGUCCGACAGAAAACAAAGAGAUUUGAGAAAUUAUCUUGUUUCUAUCGAACGUCCGGUAGAGACAUAUUCAGCGUCCGAUAGAUUCGUCGACUUCGAAGGAUCCUAUUGGACGUCCGAAGCAUUCGUCCGAAGUUGUGCAAUGAUUAUCGGACGUCCGAUACUGUCUUCUUGAGUGUCCGACAGGUUCAACAUACUCUGUAUUUUUCAAAUGUGCUUAAUCUUUGAACCUGAUUUGUUUCAUUUCUAAAAAAGCCUUUGAGGAGAUGUUAGCAACAUCCAUUUGUUUUGUAAUCAUCAAAAGUUAGGAACCAAGGUCAACAGGAAGGGGAACUGGAGGAGUAAAACUUUCCAAGGAGUCAAGGGGAGCCCAGGCCAGAGGUGGUCAGGUUGGGCGAGAAUAGAGUGGUGCCUCACGGGGAGGCUCGUUUUCUACAUCCCGUGGUCCCUGUGAAUUUUGCGGGGGGCCAAAUCACACGGAGAAUAAUUGCUGGAAAAAAGAGGGAAAUACCUGCGCUGUGGAAGCGCCGAUCAUCGGAUUGCUGACUGCCCAGUUCGAUUGCGAGAAGGGAAAGAGACCCAGCAACCAACCAAGACUAACCUUGGACAGUCGAAAAGGGAAGGGACUGGAUCGAAAGUACUGACUCGGGUGUAUUCCCUAGAGUAACAUCGGGUCCCUGACUCGUUUGAGGACGUAGAAGGUACAAUUCCCGUACUUCACCGUUUAACUAAGAUUUGGAUAAAUUCUGGUGAUAAGAAAACUUCGAGGACGAAAUUUCUUUAAGGGGGAGAGAGUGUGAGAACCCGAAAAUUUCUUUAUUUCUAGUCAUUAUUUUAGUUUCUUGCAUACAAUUUCUAUACCUUUCUUUAUUAUAUUAAUUUUUGAGAGAUUUUUAUAAGGGAAUUAAGUUGUUAAGACAUUUUUUCGGUACAAGUUAGUCUAUGUGACGUUAGUAGUGUAUAUUGGACGUGGGACCCGCUAGUGCGAUAAAAUUUUGACGACUAGGUGACGUUGUAUUAGGAAAUAUUAUUUUUACAAGGUGCUCGGGAAUAAUUAGAGGUUAGUUAGGUAAAUUAACCAUUGGUAGCCAAAAGGAUGAGAAUAAACCCUAGUGCGCCAUUUGUCGCGAAACCAAUGGAUGGUGGAUUUUGACCAAGACUUUCUUACUUUUACUAAAUACAAAAAUUUAACUAAAAUUCCCUUUUAUUUUGAAUCAAUUAUCUUAUGAUAGUUUUACUACUCAUUUACUCCCUCAAUAGGUAUAAUGAAUAAGAGAUUUAAGAGUUUUACCCUUAGUUUUAUAGUUCGGGUAAAUUAGGGUUUUCGCGUAUUUUGGUAGUGUGAUUAAUUGUGGAGGUGUGUGUACUAAAUUUGGUGGUUAAGAGUGAGUUUUAGAUAAGAAAAAGUAUAUGAUUAGAAGUAAUAAUAAUAAGUGAAAACCCUAGUACGCGCGCGAUAAGAAAAAACGGUAUGAACCGACCUAUACCGUUUGUUACCGAGUAUGUACACUACUUGAACACUAUUUUAUUACCUUAAUAUCCUUGCUUUUAUUUCAGCUAAUUAACCCUAAAAUAUCUCUUAAACCAGCCACAAUGUUUGACCAAAGAAAAAGAAAAAAAAAGAAAAAAUUGAGCUUUGAUCCUACGGCGACACUUGUUGGAAAUCUACCCAACUUUGACCCAAGUUUCUUACCUUUACUAAAACUCAAAAUUUGACCACAAUUUCCUUCACUUUCUUGUCUUCUUGGCCGAAAAUAGGGAGAGGAAAAAAGAGAGAAAACUUCAUCUUGCAUCUUCAAUUUCUUCCUCAAAUCUUGAGUUCCAACCGUUAAAAUUACAAACUACUCCAUAAAAGUUACUCACUAAGAAGGUUUAGAGCUUUUGGUGGAGUGAUUUUGGAAGAAAAAAUCCUAAGCUACCAUCUUUCUUAAGGUUCCAAGGUAACUUGUCUAAAAAUCCCUCUUUGCUCUUAAUAAUUGUAAAUUGGUGGAUUAGAGUUGUUAAAUAUGUAGUUUUGUGAGAAAUUUCAUGGGUUGAAGUAGUGUUAUGAUAAAUUUCAGUUUUUAUGGUGAAUUUUCUGCUCUCACGUGAUGAUUAAUGAUUGGCCAUGGUUUGAUAGUUUUGUUAUGUGACAAAUUAGUGUAUUAUGUGUUAGAUGGACUUGCCUAAAGAAAAUUUCCAGCUUAAGGUUGAAACUGCCCUGUUCUGACCUCUGAGCUCAAAUCUUGUGGCUAGUUACUCGAGUCGAUUAGAUAACGAGCCACGGUAGUCUAUUUCUGGGAAAUCUUUGGGUAUUGGAGACUCUGGAUUUCCGGUAUACUCGAGUAUUACCACCUCUGUUCUGUGUGUGGUGUUCGGGCCCGGUAAUGGGUAUGUUUGGUGGACGGAAUUUGAUGUCAAGUGGGGUCUACGGUCAUGUUUGUUUCCUCGAACGUUAACGGAGCGUCAACGAGUUGGGAUCGAGUACUAUAACGGGAAUUUGUCUCUUGAGAGCCACCUGUAUCCUUUCUAUCUGUGGUAUUUGUUCAUUUCCUUAUAUGAUGUGUAUAUGUGCCUUAAAAGUGAAAUGCCAUGAUUCUUGACUACUUAUACUUGUGGUACCUCAUUGAGCAUAAUCUCACCCCGUUCCCGUUAUCUUUGUUUUCCUUACAGGGUUCAAUAUUUUGUGAGUUAUGAUUUUUGAAGAAAGAGUCGAGCUAGUGUAGACAUUCUUUUGAUCAUGCUUCUCUGUAACUGAAACCCUAAUUGUAUUUCGUAUACGUAUGGUUAUUAUGGCUUGUAUUUCAAGUUAACUUGUUGAAGACUCGGAUGUAUAUAUGUAUAUAAGUGUAUAAUCAAGUGUUUAAAGCGUAUUCGUUUGAGAUUGUACGUUUCUAUGGUUAUGUGAACUUUCUUGUAACCAUUGGGGAAAUCGGGCGAGUGUGAACAUUGAACGAGGAAGAAAGAAAUUUGGUCGGAUUUUGACAUGGCUGCGGUCCUUCGUGCUUUUCGAUGAUUCAUUUUCCCAAAGUUCUUUGGACUGUUUGGUAAGGUUUAUAAAUGAUUUGAUCCUUAGUCCUGGCAAGAGUUGGGCAGGCAGUCCGCCGACCCUUUGGUUCACCUUAGGGGAAGGUGGGGCCGUCACAAAAGGAGCUCACGAAAAGCUAAGAGAAAGUACUCUCAUAAAUCUAUCUUCUUGUUGAAUCCCUCUAUCACUUGAAAGAGACUUUAUUUAUAGCCUUACAAACGGUAACCCUAAUAUGACUUUGUGACGACUGAAAAAUUCACACAUAUUUUCUUAAAAUUCCUUCUUAUUUUGAUUAAAUGACUUUAUAAUAUAUUUACUACUUAUUUACUCCCUCAAUAGUUGGAAUAAAGAAUAGAAUGAAGAGUUUCCCCUUUACUUGCAUCAUUAGGGUAAACUAGGGUUUUUACUUCUUUCGGUAGUGUGAUUACUUGGUAUGGAGUGUGUACUAAAUUUGGUGGUUAAGAGUGAGUUUUAGAUGAGAAAAGUGUGUGAUGAGAAGUAAUAAUAAUACGUUAGUCAAUUAUAAGUGAAAACUCUAGUACGUGCGACUUAAGGAAAAACGGUGUGAACCGAAGUGUACCGUUUGUUACCGAGUGAGUACACCACUUGACCACUACUUUAUUACCUUAAUCUUCUCACUUUAUUUCAGUUAAUUAACCCUAAAAAUAUCUCUUAAAUCAGACACAAUAUUUGACCAAAAGAAAUGAGAGAAAAGUCUAGAAAAAAAAACAAGUGUCAUGACACCUAUGGAAGUUGGACUUUGACCAACUUGUUUUAAAUUUCCUAAAACAAAAAUUUGACCCAAUUUUCUUCAUUUCUUUCCUUGCUUGGCCAAAUCCUUGAGGAAGAGAGAAGAGAGGAAAGACUUCAUCUUGCACCAUCCUUUCUAACUUCAAUCUUGAACUCCAACCACUAAUCUUGCAAACCACUCCAUAUAAGCUGCUCUUUAGGGAAGAUUAAAGCUUUGUGUGACAAAGUUUUGGAAGGAAAGGUUGUGGAUUUCUCUUGCAAGCAUCUUGGUGAGGUGUUAUGGCUGUCUUUUCUAUUUCUCUCCCUUAAUCUUGUUUAAGUUUGGCUAGCAACUCAUACUCUUGGCUAAGGAUGGUUAUUUAAAUAGUUUUGAUUGAUGUGGUGGAUUUUUGAGUUAGGGUUUAAGUUGUUCAGUUGUAUUUCUUAUUGUUUAUAUAGCAUAUGAUGUUUAUAAGCUUGGAUAGGGAGUUGGGAUAGUGGUUCAAGUCAUGAAUGAGAAUUUUAAACCCUGAAUUCCUCAAAUUUCCAGCUUUAAGAUUGAAACUGUCCUGCUUCUGACCUGUUUAAUUUGUCCAUGUUAGAGGCCAAAUCAGGCUUAGGUCAAAACCUGAAAGUUGUAGAAAAUGGUGUUAUAUAGCUUAUUGUAAAAUUUCAGCUAAUCGGAGCACUGUAGUAUGUGAUUUGACAAAAAUACCCUUGACUGCCAAAUGUACUGUUUUGCGGACAAUUUUGAGAUUUCACAUUUUUGGCUUCAUUUUUCACUUUGAUCUACAUCAAAUCAGUGUUUGGUCAAAACAUGAUAAUUUUAGCCCUAUAUUUCAGCAUUCUAACGCAUCUAAAAACACCUCAAUCGGAAUUUUGUAGUUUUAGUUAUUGUCAUUCAAAUCCAGUGCUAACAACCAGACUAACACUAAAAUUCUGGUUCUGUAAUCUGCAAAUUCAACCUGGAUCAAAUGUGAACUGGGUUGACUUGUCUUCAUGAAAGUUGUAACCCUUUGUCUUUUUAUACCCCAAUCCGAUAAACGUAGCUCCAGUUGUGACCAAAAUGCUAUAAGAUGUCAAAUCUGCUGUUUAGCCUUUUGUCUUCAAAACUAAUUUCCGGUAGUAUUAUUAGACUUGUGUUAUAAUUGGAUGAUUUUGGAGCCUAAUUGAAGGGGUAUGGUGGUAACAUUGCUUGUGUGUGACUUUGGGGCUGAUCUGAGAAAAAUAAUGAAGCCAUAAAUAGCUGAAAAAUAGGUAACUACAAAGGGCGUGCUGCCCAAAUUUUCAUUCAAGGACUGGACAUGUGCACUUGUAGUUUGAGCGAAGAGUUGGGGUUGAAUUGAGUUUGAAUUGUCUAGGUUAUUCAAGUCCUCUUUCAUGGAGGUAUGUAAGCUAGAAUUCGGCUGAAACUUGUGCCCUUGGAAAAAUGAAAGUAACGACUAAUAGAAAUACGUUUUCCUCGUCUCUUCGACUCAAAUGGUGAUUUCAAAGUUCAAUCGCUUCAAAGUUUCAAAGUUUUAAGAGCGAGCAUGAGUUUUCUAGGACAUGAUAAGUAAUACGAAUAUUCCCCAAAUAAGUUUCAAUUACUUGAUUUUCGUUAAACGAAAUGUUUAAGUGUCGAACCUUAGUUGAUUUUCAAAACUCUUAAAUGAUAUUUUAUCACAGAUUUGGACUCCCAACAAGGAAUAAUACCUGAAUGUGACCCGUAAAGGCACUACAUCUUUGGUGAGUGCUUCCAAAUACCUGAUUGAACUUGACACUUGUGUUCAAUACUUGACUAAUGUGAUCAAAUGAUAUUUGAUUGGUAUGGUCGGGUAAGGGUGUACUUUAUCGCACUUACUCUAAUGUGAGAUGUACGUGUUUAUUGGUACAAUUGACUUGAUAUACUUGUGCUUGAUUUGUAAGUACUAGAGCGGCAGCAUGUACCACACUAAAUCCGAGUAGGAGGUGCCUCUCAUUCCCGUCUCUGUACUUUUAUCUUGAUUCUGUCGAUUGGAGAUGUUAACUCAUCGAAUUCUUGGGAAUCCAAACCUCACUGGCUAGUUAAUCGAGUCGAGCCGGCAAGGGCUUGGUUGAUUAGAUAACGAACCAUGGGUAUCUAGUAUUGUCGAGUGGAGUAUUAUCUCCUCGACUAAUCGGUAUGCUCGAGUAUUACCACCAGUGUUUAUUGAGGAUUUUGGGCCCAAUAGGGGGUUUGGAUGGUGGACGGAGAUUGUAGCUAAGUGGUGCUCUACUGGAUUGGUUACUACUUGAUCAAGCUCUGGUGAAGCAAUGGGAACUUGGCUCCUGAGAGCCAUCCGUAUCCUUAUACUUUGAAAUGAUUAUUGCUUAUUGGAUUAUUGUUUCCUUUGAAAAAAAAACUUUACACUCGCUCAUUUUGAGAUUUGCUACUUGAAGUGUUAUUGCUCAUUUUCUUGACUUGUUAUGCUCGCUAUUUUCCUAUUCUAAUACUUUCACUUUGAAAUAAUGGUCAACUUGCUGUUUGGAACCUCACUGGGCUUUUAACUCAUUCCACGCCAUUUGUUUUCCUUACAGGGGGUACGAGUUUGGCGUGAGACUUGUACAGACUAGCGUAGUCUAGUUUUUUGAAUUUUGUAAUUGUACUCGCAUUAGUCGCUCGAUUAGGGUUGAAUGUAUGUAGAACUUCAAUCUUUUGAUGUAUUUGGGGUUGUAUGGAUGUUUGAGACAGAUAUGAAUGUAAUUGUACUUUCCAAACUUGGUAACUGUUAUUUCCUUUAUUCUUGAGGUUGUACCCUGUUUGAGUUGAAGUGAGUGAGUGAGUCCUGACGAGAGUUGGGCAGGCGGUCCGUUAAACCCUGGGGUACACCUUAGGGGAAGGUGGGGUCGUCAGAGCUCUUAUCGAGCUCGUGUCGGGAGAGGGUUCUCGGACUGUGGGGAUUGGUUUGUUUAAGUGUGGAACAAAUGUCUAUUGUUGGGGACCUUAGAUAUGUAUGUUGGGUAGGAAUCUCAAAAGUGGUUGAUUUCCUCUUGAGCCUAGCUAACUCGAGUGGUGAAUUAUCAUAUUUUCGGAUUCCUGUACCCGAGUACCGAAGAGUGAUACCUUUAUGAUAAGUUGAUAUCCCGAGUAAAAUUAGGAUAAGUCUGGAUGGCGAAAGCCAAGGCAUGGGGGAUGUGAAUAAUCUGGACUUGGGAUAUAUUGAAAAUAUUAGUGAGAUGUGGGAUACUUAUUAUUCAUGUGUACGUACUUGGUUGUAUUUCCUCAAGUUUUGGAUAAGUAUAGUGUUAGAGCAAAACCUAGGGUUAAUGUCCCAUAGGACAUGUGAAUUGCUAUGAUAUGUAUUGUGACGGCACCACCUCACCCUAGGGCGGACCAAAGGGUUCGGCGGGUCGCCUGCCCAGCUCUCGCCGGGACUCACUCACUCACUAUAGUCUUCAAACAAAUUACAAGGUAAAACUCAGAUAUUACAUCCAAUUCUCCAAGAAUUACACAAACUAGUACAUCAAGUCGUACAUACCACGAGUACCAGAAAGUAAAUCCUAGAAAAACUGAUAAUUAUAACCACCACAACAAUUAUAUACAUCUUGCCAGUUAACUUAUAACAAGUACAAGUUCACUCAUCUAAAAUCGAAACACUAAACACCUUCCCGAGCAAUCUCCCGCGUCGGCCCCCUGCUAAGGAAAAUAAAUGAAAUGGGGUAAGCUAUAUGCUUAGUGAGUAAUCAGGGGGAGAAAUGAAAACUCACACAAUUAAACAAGUAAAUCAGGAGUUCACAUCAAUAACAGAAAAGUAACAUCACAACGGUAGGAUACGGGUGGCUCCAAAGCCAAUUCAAUUCCCCGAACUUGAACGCCUGUUGACACUCCGUCAACCAAGUACUCAUGGUCCGUAGACUCCACUUAAACUUUCCCGUUCACCUUAUCAACCCCCGCUGGCCAGUCAACAGCACACAGCAGCUCGAGCGAGAUAAAGUAACUUAACUUUCGUCAAAGCUUUAACAAGAAACUAAAUCCCAAGUUUAGCAUGGAACUAUCCUCGACCAAACCCCAACUGGCUCGAAUAGAUCAUCUAACCCUUGGAACCGGGCUGGAACCAAGCCCUGAGAUAUCCGAUCUCUCAAUAGAUGGUAUCUCUCAACAAGUGCACAACAAGAUACUUACCCCAAACAGCACACAGCAAAUGGGGUUUAAUUCAAGUCACGAGAUCACCCCUAUCAGCACACAGCAAAAGGGUGACACUCAAGUCAUGUAAUUCCCCUCCUCAGCACACAGCAAGAGGGUGAUACUCAACAUAAAGCAUGUAUUCUCACAUAGAAAAUCAAAACAAAGGAUGGGCUUAGGUCGAGUGAGAUAAAGUACACCCUCGCCUAUGUACCCAUUUAACAUGUACAAAGCACUUUAACAAUUUCAUAUCAAUAACCACCCAAUUACUCACUUGAUACAACUUGGCACAAAAAAUGAUACAAUUCACGGAGCUUGACCGUCACCGUCAAAAGCCUCAAGAUCUGUAUGGGAAGAUUAUAUACACACAUGAGUGAAACGGCCAUACAACAACAAUUUAUAACUGAAACGAUCGAAUACAGUUGAAAACGGUCAAAAUAAUCAAAACGGUUACACGAUCUUGUCCAUAACGGGAGCUAGGGUUAUCGGAUCAAAAUGUACUAGAUAGUGUCUCGAACCUUAGACAAAAGGUUACAACUUCCAUGAAGAUAACUCAAUCCAUUUUUCAGUGUAUCCAAGUUAAAUUUGCAAAAUAUAAAACUAGGACUCCGAAGACUAGUUUAUCUUUCUCGUGAAAAUUCGGCGGCAUGCCCCUUGUGUUUACCCAUUUUCCAGCCAUUUAUGGCUUCAAUAUUUUACUCAAUCCAACCCAAAGUUAUCCAUAACACAAUUCCAUUUCAAUAGCCAUUCCAUAGGCUCCAAAACAAUACGAGAACAACAAUUAAGCUAAUAUCAAGUGCGGAAACAACGUUUACAAAAAAAUUUUUUUGACGGGUUUUUCCGGAACGGGCACAUCCGAGGCUACGCUUAUCGGAUUGAAAUGUAACUUAUACCAUUUCGAAGCUAAGACGAAGGCCUACAAUUUUCAUGAAGAGCACUUAGUCUAAUUUUCAGGGUAACCUAAUCAAAUUUCCAAUUCAUAUAACCUGGUUCCAACUAUUUGGCUAAUCAACUGUACUGCAUUCAAAUGGCCAUAUCUCAGUCUACCAAGGUCCGUUUAAGGCGUUCUUUGUGGCGUUGAAAAGCUAAGACAGGGUACUAAAACUUUCAUGUUUUGGAAAAUGGCUAAAUCCGAACGGAUUAUAGUGAAUAAACACAGCCAAAAAGUCUGAACUGUCCACGCGGAACACUGGAAUUUAACCUAGAGCAGUGAGGGUAUUUUGGUCUUUUCAUGUCCUACGUUGUUCCGAUUGAGCUCACAUUUUGUAGGCAACUAUAAAAUACCAUUCUAUACAACUUUUAUGUUUUAUGACAAGCCUAAUUCGACCUCUAACUAUACGAACUUGAACCGGACAGAACGGGGUGAAAUUUUUCCAGAAAUCUGGAAUUUUUUUGGUUUCAAUGAUACUCUCUUCAUUUCUUGCUUCACUUGCUACCAAAACCCCCUAAAUAAUCUUGGAUACCACAUAUAUUAACCAUACACCAAGUUUGGGCAGAAAUUCAUCAAACCCUAACUCAUGUACCCACAAGGAAAAACAACGCCCAAGGCAUGAUAACAACCAUUAUACACUACAAUUUUGAGUUGCUAAGCUAAUUGGAACAAGAUUAAGAGUAAAAUUUGGGAAAACCAUCAUCCUUACCUUGCUUAGUGUCUUCCAAGAGCAACUCUAGCUUUCCCCUUCAAAAAUUCACCAACACUUCACUAAACUAACACUCAAAGAUAACUUUAAUCGGUUUAUUUUCUUUGUUUUCUCACUUUGUAGCUCCAAAUCAAGAAGAAAUGGAGCAAAUUCUUUUGGUGUUUUUUCCUCUCUCUCUAUCUCGGCCAAGGAACAGAAAUAUGAAGAGGAAAGAUGCAAAAUUGGGGAUAAGUAGGAAGACUAGUCUCUUGGUCAAGAAACCCUUAGGUGGCGACAAGUGUCGCCACCACCACCUCUCAUUUUUCUCUUUCCUUUUCCUUGCAAUUUGGUCCACAUUUUCGGUCAAGGCUAGCUGGCAAUGAGGGGGUAUUUGGCUCAAAUAUUAAUGAGUUCAUGUGGUAAGAAAGUGGUGGUCAAGUGGUGCGAUCAAUCGGUAGUGCGCGGUACUCGUCGGUUCGCGCCGUUUUUCUUAAAAACACAUGUACUAGGGUUUUUACUUCCUAUUUGCUACCCUUGUAUCAUUGCUCCUAAUCACAUAUUAUUUCUCACUUAAAAGUCACUUUUAAUCACCAAAUUUGAUCCUUACUCCGUACCGAAAAAUCAUCCGGCGAAAAAUCGCGAAAACCCUAAUUUGCUCCAAUCUUGAAAAUGAAAAGUGAAACCCUACUUUCUAGAUGCAUUUGCACUUAUUAUGGGGUGCUUAAGUAGUAUGGCCAUAAUAAAUGAAUAAUUUCCAAAUAAAAGGUAUUUUAAGAAAAAUGUGAUGAAUUUUACAAUUCCAUAGAAUAAAAUUAGGGUUUUGAGUCAAAUAUGAGGGAUUUAAACAUAGUCACAAGUAAACUAGGGUUUUUGAUUAAAAUUUUAGGGUUUCUAGUCUUUUAAAACAAAAUAAGGUUUUAAAUCAAACCCAAAGAAAUAACUUUAAUAUCUUCUUUGAAACAAAAUAAUGUUUUAAAAUAAAUAAACUAAAGAAACCGUAGGAUCCUCUUUGAGACUAAACAACAAUAGCAUCCUAAAAGUUGGGGUGUCACAAUCUCCCCUCCUUAAAAGAAUUUCGUCCUCGAAAUUCCAAUCAACGAACUAAAGGGUUGGAAUACUCAAAUACCUCAAUACGAUGGAAAAUAGGGAAGGUACCUUCGGUGAUUGUUAAUGGGUCUGUCACCUCUUGGCUUCCUAUUGCAUAGGUCCUUGCCGGUACUUUCGGUCGAUUACCCGUGGCAUUAGUCUUCUUAGACGUGUUCCCUUCUGCCCUUGGCAAAUUUCCUUCUUUUGGUAGGUGAGGGCACUGAGCAAUCAGAUGCUCAGCACUACCACAUCGAUAGCAUUUCCGUACUUGUCCUUUCUUCCAACAAUUAUCUUCUAUGUGAUUAGCAGCUCCACAAAAUCCGCAUGUCAUUCUAGGUCCUGAUGUCGAACCUCCUCGUGAGGUACCCCUUUGGGUCUCUCUUCCUACCUGAUUUUUCUCAACAUUUCCUUGAUUUGGGAUCCCAGUGGAUCGUGGUCCACUUAUUCCUCGACUCUUCUUAAGUGGUGGCUCGCUCCCCGAGCUCUGUCCCUCAAUAUAACAGCUUGUAUCUGGGUGCCUUCUUUUCUUAUCAUGAAAGGCCUUUACUUGACUCUUAGUACUUUCAAUUCUUUGUGCCUUUUCAAUCGCUUGACUAUAAGUCUCCAAUUGAGCAGCUACCAAUGCCUCUUGAAUUUCCACGUUCAAACCCUGAACAAACCGACGAAUUCUCCUUUGGUCUAUCUGUACUAAUUCUGGAGCAAAACGAGAGAGUUUGGUAAACUGUGUCUCGUACUCCGCCACACUCAUAGUCCCUUGACGUAGGCGUAUGAACUCAUCCUCUCGCCUUUCCUGAACAAGUGGCGGUAAAUACUUCUCAUUAAACUCACGAGUAAAAUUCACCCAUGUCCAUGGGGUUUGCUCUCUAUCCCAUUUGGCUCGAAUCACAUUCCACCAGGCACGAGCCGCUCCCUCAAAUUGAAAAACGGCGAAAGCUAUAUGUCGUUCCUCUGAGUAUCCUAACACAGCAAAAAUGUCUAACAUUCGCUCCAACCAACUCUCCGCUAUAUCAGGGCUAGGUCCACCCAAGAAUUUUGGCGGUAGAAAUUUUUGGAACCGUUCUAAGGCACGGUCCUCUCCUUCAUGAUUGCCAGGAUGCUGUACUUGGCCUUGGCCCUGUUGGUUGACCAUUCAUUCUAGUAAAUCAGCCAUUCGCUGUAUGGCUGUAGCUACCUGGGUUUCGGCUUGCGUAUUCGCAUUUUCAUUAGUUACCCCUUCGGUUCCUUGUCCUCGUCCUCUACCCCCACCACGAGUCUCCAUUUAAUGGUUUUAUAGUUUCUAUAAUUGGGACAAAAUAUGGUUCAAGAUCAAAGUGUUGAAAAGUUAUAAAAUGCACGAAAUAAUCAAAAGAUCAAAAUGUGUACGUAUAUAUACAAGUCACGCAAAAAUAUACAUAAUAUAAUGCACCAUAUACACCAAGGGACAUUUCAGGUUAGACAAAGUCAAGUGCAGUAAGUACUAUAUAUGUAGGCAUUAACAUACCAUAAGUAAAUGACAUGUAGAAACAAUGCAAGGGCAAAAUGAAAGAAACGCGACUUGUCGUCCCACACUCAGUGAAAAUCACCCCCGUCCGAUUUAUUACUCCACUUCCCAAGGUGCCCGUUAAUUUCUUGUACUCACUCUAGCCAGACAAAGCCUGUUCAUGUUCUCAAAAUGCAAGUCUCAAGUCAAAAAUUUCUCAAGUCAAAAAUUUUAUCCCUGGCGGUGCUUGGAAACACAACAGGCAAUGCCUCACCAGAGAGUUUUAGUUCAACCGCUACAGAGGAAUAGUAGCCGGUCUACAAUCACACGAGUACAAAUAAGUUCAAAAACAAGGUCGAAACAGGGUUCAAACAUAUAAGUUCAAAAAUAGAGUCAAUUACUUCAAGUUCAAGGAGCACAGGUACGAAUAAGAACUCACUCGGCUAGCCUAUACCCAGCAAUUCACAUUCUCAAACAGUCACCGAAUUCAAGUCCAAAUAUAGGUCACAUUACUCAUGUGUAAUAUCAAAUCAGGUCCAUUACAUGUACGUAAGAGCACACUAUAUGGUACCCAAGUACAAGAAUUCACAAUAAGACAAUUCACAACUCGAACCGGCCGGUCCCAAGAGUAAAUCAUCCAUAUUAGAGAUUCCUACCUGGCAUACCUAACCAUUGUCCCCAAAGUACCAUGAUAAGGGUUCAAACCUAGAACGUUUCAUGAUUCGUAACUUAAGCUUCAAAAAAAAAAGUCCUUAAUCCUUAAUACCCAUUCACGAAAUUAGGACCAUAACACCACUUGGCCCAAGUUCACUCCGCGCAGAGACCACGCGAAGCAGGCUCUAGCUUUUAUCCCUCAAUCGCUUAACUUUUGAAUCAAAUCGAAUUCCACAGUCCGGCAUCCUAAACUUCAGCCUAGGAUGCACUACAGAGAUCUGAAGCCUAAGCUCUGAUACCACCUGUGACGGCCCCAUCUCACCCUAGGGCGGACCAAAGGGUUCGGCGGGUCGCUUGCCCAGCUCUCGCCGGGACUCACUCACUCACUAUAGUCUUCAAACAAAUUACAAGGUAAAACUCAGAUAUUACAUCCAAUUCUCCAAGAAUUACACAAACGAGUACAUCAAGUCGUACAUACCACGAGUACCAGAAAGUAAACCCAAGAAAAACUGAUAAUUAUAACCACCACAACAACUAUAUACAUCUUGCCAGUUAACUUAUAACAAGUACAAGCUCACUCAUCUAAAAUCGAAACACUAAACACCUUCCCGAGCAAUCUCCCGCGUCGGCCCCCUGCUAAGGAAAACAAAUGGAAUGGGGUAAGCUAUAUGCUUAGUGAGUAAUCAGGGGGAGAAAUGAAAACUCACAUAAUUAAACAAGUAAAUCAGGAGUUCACAUCAAUAACAGAAAAGUAACAUCACAAUGGUAGGAUACGGGUGGCUCCAAAGCCAAUUCAAUUCCCCGAACUUGAACGCCUGUUGACACUCCGUCAACCAAGUACUCAUGGUCCGUAGACUCCACUUAAACUUUCCCGUUCACCUUAUCAACCCCCGCUGGCCAGUCAACAGCACACAGCAGCUCGAGCGAGAUAAAGUAACUUAGCUUUCGUCAAAGCUUUAACAAGAAACUAAAUCCCAAGUUUAGCAUGGAACUAUUUUCGACCAAACCCCAACUGGCUCGAAUAGAUCAUCUAACCCUUGGAACCGGGCUGGAACCAAGCCCUGAGAUAUCCGAUCUCUCAAUAGAUGGUAUCUCUCAACAAGUGCACAACAAGAUACUUACCCCAAACAGCACACAGCAAAUGGGGUUUAAUUCAAGUCACGAGAUCAUCCCUAUCAGCACACAGCAAAAGGGUGAUACUCAAGUCAUGUAAUUCCCCUCCUCAGCACACAACAAGAGGGUGAUACUCAACAUAAAGCAUGUAUUCUCACAUAGGAAAUCAAAACAAAGGAUGGGCUUAGGUCUAGUGAGAUAAAGUACACCCUCGCCUAUGUACCCAUUUAACAUGUACAAAGCACUUUAACAAUUUCAUAUCAAUAACCACCCAAUUACUCACUUGAUACAACUUGGCACGAAAAAUGAUAUAAUUCACGGAGCUUGACCGUCACCGUCAAAAGCCUCAAGAUCUGUAUGGGAAGAUUAUAUACACACAUGAGUGAAACGGCCAUACAACAACAAUUUAUAACUGAAACGAUCGAAUACAGUUGAAAACGGUCAAAAUAAUCAAAACGGUUACACGAUCUUGUCCAUAACGGGAGCUAGGGUUAUCGGAUCAAAAUGUACUAGAUAGUGUCUCGAACCUUAGACAAAAGGUUACAACUUCCAUGAAGAUAACUCAAUCCAUUUUUCAGUGUAUCCAAGUUAAAUUUGCAAAAUAUAAAACUAGGACUCCGAAGACUAGUUUAUCUUUCUCGUGAAAAUUCGGCGGCAUGCCCCUUGUGUUUACCCAUUUUCCAGCCAUUUAUGGCUUCAAUAUUUUACUCAAUCCAACCCAAAGUUAUCCAUAACACAAUUCCAUUUCAAUAGCCAUUCCAUAGGCUCCAAAACAAUACGAGAACAACAAUUAAGCUAAUAUCAAGUGCGGAAACAACGUUUACAAAAAAAUUUUUUUGACGGGUUUUUCCGGAACGGGCACAUCCGAGGCUACGCUUAUCGGAUUGAAAUGUAACUUAUACCAUUUCGAAGCUAAGACGAAGGCCUACAAUUUUCAUGAAGAGCACUUAGUCUAAUUUUCAGUGUAACCUAAUCAAAUUUCCAAUUCAUAUAACCUGGUUCCAACUAUUUGGCUAAUCAACUGUACUGCAUUCAAAUGGCCAUAUCUCAGUCUACCAAGGUCCGUUUAAGGCGUUCUUUGUGGCGUUGAAAAGCUAAGACAGGGUACUAAAACUUUCAUGUUUUGGAAAAUGGCUAAAUCCGAACGGAUUAUAGUGAAUAAACACAGCCAAAAAGUCUGAACUGUCCACGCGGAACACUGGAAUUUAACCUAGAGCAGUGAGGGUAUUUUGGUCUUUUCAUGUCCUACGUUGUUCCGAUUGAGCUCACAUUUUGUAGGCAACUAUAAAAUACCAUUCUCUACAACUUUUAUGUUUUAUGACAAGCCUAAUUCGACCUCUAACUAUACGAACUUGAACCGGACAGAACGGGGUGAAAUUUUUCCAGAAAUCUGGAAUUUUUUUGGUUUCAAUGAUACUCUCUUCAUUUCUUGCUUCACUUGCUACCAAAACCCCCUAAAUAAUCUUGGAUACCACAUAUAUUAACCAUACACCAAGUUUGGGCAGAAAUUCAUCAAACCCUAACUCAUGUACCCACAAGGAAAAACAACGCCCAAGGCAUGAUAACAACCAUUAUACACCACAAUUUUGAGUUGCUAAGCUAAUUGGAACAAGAUUAAGAGUAAAAUUUGGGAAAACCAUCAUCCUUACCUUGCUUAGUGUCUACCAAGAGCAACCCUAGCUUUCCCCUUCAAAAAUUCACCAACACUUCACUAAACUAACACUCAAAGAUAACUUUAAUCGGUUUAUUUUCUUUGUUUUCUCACUUUGUAGCUCAAAAUCAAGAAGAAAUGGAGCAAAUUCUUUUGGUGUUUUUUCCUCUCUCUCUCUCGGCCAAGGAACAGAAAUAUGAAGAGGAAAGAUGCAAAAUUGGGGAUAAGUAGGAAGACUAGUCUCUUGGUCAAGAAACCCUUAGGUGGCGACAAGUGUCGCCACCACCACCUCUCAUUUUUAUCUUUCCUUUUCCUUGCUAUUUGGUCCACAUUUUUGGUCAAGGCUAGCUGGCAAUGAGGGGGUAUUUGGCUCAAAUAUUAAUGAGUUCAUGUGGUAAGAAAGUGGUGGUCAAGUGGUGCGUUCAAUCGGUAGUGCGCGGUACUCGUCGGUUCGCGCCGUUUUUCUUAAAAACACAUGUACUAGGGUUUUUACUUCCUAUUUGCUACCCUUGUAUCAUUGCUCCUAAUAAAAUAUUAUUUCUCACUUAAAAGUCACUUUUAAUCACCAAAUUUGAUCCUUGCUCCGUACCGAAAAAUCAUCCGGCGAAAAAUCGCGAAAACCCUAAUUUGCUCCAAUCUUGAAAACGAAAAGUGAAACCCUACUUUCUAGGUUCAUUUGCACUUAUUAUGGGGUGCUUGAGUAGUAGGACCAUAAUAAAUGAAUAAUUUGCAAAUAAAAGGUAUUUUAAGAAAAAUGUGAUGAAUUUUACAAUUCCAUAGAAUAAAAUUAGGGUUUUGAGUCAAAUAUGAGGGAUUUAAACAUAGUCACAAGUAAACUAGGGUUUUUGAUUAAAAUUUUAGGGUUUCUAGUCUUUUAAAACAAAAUAAGGUUUUAAAUCAAACCCAAAGAAAUAACUUUAAUAUCUUCUUUGAAACAAAAUAAUGUUUUAAAAUAAAUAAACUAAAGAAACCGUAGGAUCCUCUUUGAGACUAAACAACAAUAGCAUCCUAAAAGUUGGGGUGUCACAUGUAUAUAAAGAGGGUAUAUUAUUAUCAAUGUGUUCUAUCAUUUUUUGUUUUAUGAUUUGAAAAUGCUUUUAUCGAACUUUAUAGCUACUGUAUUUUGCUUAUACUUAUAUAGGCUAUUGUUCAAAAGAGAUAUGGAGGGUAGACGGAGUCAAGAACGUGGAGCUACUCGAGGGCACGGUUCUAGCCGUGGCCGUGGGGGUAGACAGGCACAGGAACCGGUGCAAAAACCAAAAGAGGAAAGAGGUGAAACAGUUGAACCGCAACCCGGACCCCGAGCGGAAAGGGGGAUCAGGUGGCAACGGCGAUUCAAUAGAUGACAAAUAUCCUUGCUCGUUUGGUAGAGCAACAAGGUCAAACCCCUGUGAAUCAACCUAGGGAUCUUGAAAUGGGACAAGAUAGAGCCCUAGAGAGAUUCUAAAAGUUUUCUCCUCCUAAAUUCUUGGGAGGACCGGACCCUGAGGUAGCGGAGAGAUGGUUAGAAACCAUGAUCAACAUAUUCGCCGCUUUAAACUAUACAGAGGAAAGACAGGUGCAAUUUGCUAUUUUUCAGUUUGAGGGUCCAUCCAGGGCUUGGUGGAAUAUAGUUAGAGCUAAAUGGGAGAGAGAGGGAACAGCAUGGACCUGGUUGAAUUUCGUGCGGGAGUUUAACGAAGAAUAUCUUCCACCGAUAGUCCAGGAGAAAAGGGAAAAUGAUUUUAUUAAACUUUGUCAGGGAACCCUAAAUGUAUUUGAGUACGAGACUCAGUUCACUAAGCUAUCGAAUUUUGUUCCUGAAUUGAGAGUUACCAAGCAAAAGAGGGUUAGGAGGUUUGUACAGGGACUCAAUGUGAAAAUACAGGAGGCCUUGGCGGCGACGCAAAUUAAUAAUUUCACCGAGAUUUUUGAGAAAGCCCAGAGGAUAGAAAUUGUUAGGGCACAAGUAAGGGCUUUUCAUGCAAAAAGGAGGGGUGCACCUGCUGGAGGUCAGGAGCAGUUACAUGGUGAUCUAGGUAGCCCAGCCUCUAAGAUGAGUCGAGGAGCUGGUGGUGUACGGAUCCCAGGGACACCUAAGGAAGUUACUCCAAGAAGUGCCUCAUAAGUAGAUCAAACCCCAACCCUUCACUUAUCUUGUGGAUAUUGUGGGAAGACCAAUCAUACUGAGGAUAAUUGUUGGCGAAAGGCACAAAAAUGUUUAUGGUGUGGUAGUGCUGAGCACCAGCUUGCAACUUGCCCCUGUAGGUCACACUUAAACCUUGAACAAGCCAAUGUAGGAGGGACUAGACCAAGUGUGCCCGCUAGAGUGUACGCCUUAGACCAACAGGCAGUACCUGAACCAUCGGAGGUAGUAGAAGGUAGAUUCAUGUUAUCUAUUGUUUAGCUAAAUUUUGGCUAUGGUGAGACCUGAGAGUUAGAAACGGACAUGCAAGAAAAAUAUCCAAAGUUAUUUAUGAAUAUAUGGAUGAAUUUCGAGGUCGAAAUUCUUUUAAGAAGGAGAGAGUGUGACGACUGGAAAAUUCACACAUAUUUUCUUAAAAUUCCCCCUUAUUUUGAUUAAAUGACUUUAUAAUAUAUUUACUACUUAUUUACUCCCUCAAUAGUUGGAACAAAGAAUAGAAUGAAGAGUUUCCCCUUUACUUGCAUCGUUAGGGUAAACUAGGGUUUUUACGUCUUUCAGUAGUGUGAUUAUUCGGUAUGGAGUGCGUAUUAAAUUUGGUACUUAAGAGUGAGUUUUAGAUGAGAAAAGUGUGUGAUGAGAAGUAAUAAUAAUAAAUUAGUGAAUUAUAAGUGAAAACCCUAGUACGUGCGACUUAAGGAAAAACGGUGUGAAUCAAAUGGUAUCGUUUGUUACCGGGUGAGUACACCACUUGACCACUACUUUAUUACCUUAAUCUUCUCACUUUAUUUCAGCUAAUUAACCCUAAGAAUAUCUCUUAAAUCAGCCACAAUAUUUGACCAAAAGUCUAGAAAAAAAAAGUGUCAUGACGCCUAUGGAAGUUGGACUUUGACCAACUUGAUUUAACUUUCCUAAAACAAAAAUUUGACCCAAUUUUCUUCAUUUCUUUCCUUGCUUGGCCGAAUUCUUGAGGAAGAGAGAAGAGAGGAAAGACUUCAUCUUGCACCAUCCUUUCUUGCUUCAAUCUUGAACUCCAACCACUAAUCUUGCAAACCACUCCAUAUAAGUUGCUCUUUAGGGAAGAUUAAAGCUUUGUGUGGCAAAGUUUUGGAAGGAAAGGUUGUGGAUUUCUCUUGCAAGCAUCUUGGUGACGUAUUAUGGCUGUAUUUUCUAUUUCUCUCCCUUAAUCUUGUUUAAGUUUGGCUAGCAACUCAUACUCUUGGCUAAGGAUGGUUAUUUAAGUAGUUUUGAUGGAUGUGGUGGAUUUUUGAGUAGGGAGUUGGGAUAGUGUGACGGCCCCACCUCCCUUUGGGCGUACCCUAGGGUUUAGCAGACCGCCUGCCCAACUCUCGUCAGGACUCACUCACUCACAUCAAUUAAAAUAAGGUGCAACCUCAAUAAUAAACGAAAUAACGGUUCCCAAGUUUGAAACAUAUGGAUACAUUCAUUUCUAUCUCAACCAUCCAUACAGUCCCAAAUACAUCAAAAGAUUUAAGUUCUCAGUACAUUCAACCCUAAUCGAGCGACUGGUGCGAGUACAAUUACAAAAUUCAAAACAACUAGACUAAGCUAGUCUGUACACGUCUCACGCGUCGCUCGUACCCCUAUAAGGAAAACAAAUGACGUGGAAUGAGCUAAAAGCCCAGUGAGGUUCCAAAUAGCAAAUUGACCAUUAUUUAUAAGUACAAGUUUUCGAUAUAGCAAAGUAACGAGCAUGAAGAGUUCAUAAAAGUGAGCAAUAACACUUCAAGUAGUAAUCUCAAAAAUGAGCGAGUGUAAAAGUUUUUCAGAAGAAACAAUAAUCCCAUAAGCAAUAAUCAUUCCAAAAUAUAAGGAUACGGAGGGCUCUCAGGAGCCAAAUUCCCAUUGCAUCACCAGGAGCUUGAUCACGUAAUAGUUGACACUCCGUCAACUUUCAAGUAAGUAACCAAUCCAGUAGAACACCACUUACACUACUCUCCGUCCACCAUUCAAACCCCCUGCUGGGCCCAAAAUUCUCAAUAAACACGGGUGGUAAUACUCGAGUAUACCGAUUAGUCGAGGAGAUAUCACUCCACUCGACAUUACUAACUACCCAAGGUUCGUUAUCUAAUCGACCAAGCCCUUGCCGGCUCGACUCGAUUAACUAGCCAGUGGGGUUUGGGGUCCUCAAAAGUCGAUGAGAUAACACUUCAAUCGACUGAAUUAAAAUAAAAGUAUGGAGACGGGAAUGAGAGGCACCUCCCACUCGGAUAGAGUGUGGUACAUACUGCCGCUCCACACUUACAAAUCAAGUACAAGUAUAUCAAGUUAAUUGCAACAAUAAACAAGUAGAUAUCAUAUUAGGGCAAGUGCGAUAAAGUACACCCUUGCCCGAUCAACAAAUCUCUUAUCAUGUAUUUUCAUGGAUCAAGUAUUAAAACAAGUGUCCAGUUCAACCAAAUAUUUGGAAGCACUCACCAAAAGAUGCGGUGCCUUUACAAGUUACGUUCGGGUAUUACUCCGUGUGUGUGGAGUCCAAAUCUGCGAUAAAACACUGUUUAAGAGCUUUUGAAAGUAACUAUGGUUCGAAACUUAAACGUUUCGUUUAACGAGAAUCACAUAAUUGAAACUUAUUUGUAAACUCAUGCUCGCUCUUAAAACUUUCAAACUUGGAAACAACUAUACUUUGAAAUACCAUAUGGGUCGACGAAAUGGCGAAAAAGUAUUUCUAUUAGUCAUAAAUUUCAUUUUUCCAAGGGUACAAGGUCGGCCAAGUUCUAACUUAUAUACCUCGAUAAAAGAAGGUGCAAUAUCCUAGAUGGUUCAAGUGGUAUUCGCUCUCAAACCUUACUUAAGUCGCAAGCAUAUCUACCUAGUUUUCGAGCUUAAAUUUGGGCAGCACGCCCUUUGUAUUUACCUAUUUUCCAGCCAUUUAUGGCUUCAUUCUUUUCCUCAAUCAAACCCAAAGUUACACACAACAUAAUCUCAUUUCAUUAGCCGUCCAGUAGGCUCAAGGUCAUACAAGUACAAAAAUCAAGCUAACGACAUGUGCGGAAAUGAAGUCUAGCAAAAGACAGAUUUGACGUGAUUUUGCGUAACGGACACAACCGAGGCUACCUUUAUCGGAUUGAGGUGUAACUUAUACCAUUUUGAAGCUAAGGUAGAGAGCUACAACUUUGGUGAAGACCACCUAGUCUAAUUUCCAGUGUAACCCAGUCAAAUUCCCAAUUCACAGAACCAAAUUCCAACUAACCGGCCAGUUAACCAUACUACAUCCCAAUGGCCAUAUCUCAAGCUACCAAAGUCCGUUUAAGGCGUUCUUGGAGGCGUUGAAAAGCUAAGACAAAGUACUAAAACUUUCAUGUUUUGGCUAAAAGCUAUCUCAGUAUGUAUCCAGGUGAACAAACGCAACCAACUUAGUGUACUGUCAAAACUGUCCGCUGAUUUUACUCCUAGGGCAGUCAGGGUAUUUUCAUCUUUUCACAGGGUACGUUGCUCUGAUUGAGCUGAAAUUUUGUAGGAAACCAUAAAAUAUCAUUCUCUACAACUUUCAUGUUUUGUGUUAAGCCUAGUUUGGCUUCUAACAUACUCAAACAGAAACGGGCAGAACUGAACCAUAAGAAAUCUUAAUUCUGGAAUUUUGUUAUAUGCAAGCUAUAAUUCAUAUUUUUACCUUAAAACUACCACUACUUUCUCCUUUACAAGAUUAUAUACCACAUAUAUACAUCAUACAACUCCUAACCCACAAGAAAUCCUAACUCAAAAGUCAUCCAUCUAAUCAUCAAAAUCACUUGAAACAAGCAUCACAAGCACAAUACUACCAUUAAUACCUAACUUAAUCAUGAUUAAUGGAGAAAGAAAGGUUGAUCAGCCAUUAUACCUCAAGACAAGAGCUUGCUAGGAUGAUCCUUCACCUCUCCUUGAAAUUUUUGGUUCCCUAGCUUCCCAAGCUUCCAAACUAGUGAUUGAUCGGUUUAAUUUUUCUUGGUUGCACUCAAAAGGUUAGAUUCAAGGUAGAAGAUUGAAACUCUCUUCACUCUCUUACCUCUCCUUGCUCUCAGCCAAAACAGAAAGAAAUGAAGAAAAUGGGCCGAAAUAAGGGAUAAGAAGGUGAGAUAAAAGGUUGGCCAAGGAUCCAUAGGUGGGUGACACUUGUCACCACCAAAGCCUUUCAAGUUUUGCUUUCUUUUUCCUUGCAUUUUGGCCACAAUUUUCGGUUAUAUGGCUGAGGAUGAGGGGGGAUAUUUUGCAAAAAUAUCAAGGAUAUGUGGUGGUAAGGAAGUGGUGGUCAAGUGGUGGGUUCAAUAGGUAGUGAUCGAUACCCGUCGGUUCGAGCCGAUUUUCCUCAAAUCGCGUAUACUAGGAUUUUAACUUAUAAUUCACUAACUUAUUAUUAUCACUUCUAAUCACACUCUUAAUAUCAUCUAAAACUCGCUCUAAAUCACCAAAUUUGAUCCCCACUCUGUACCGGAUAGUCACACUACGGAUAGACGUAAAAAUCCUAAUUCGCUCUAACUUGAAAACAAGAAGUGAAACCCUACUUUCUAGGUUCAUUUGCACUUAUUGUGGGGUGAUUGAGUAGUAAAGCUAUUAGAAAGGAAUAAACGCCAAAUAAAAGGACAUUUAAGAAAAAUGUGAGGGAUUUUACAAUUCCCUUGAUUCUAGUUAGGGUUUCGGGUAAAAUAUGAGAGAUUUGAGAAAACCGAGCAGUCACAAGUAAAACUAGGGUUUUUGAUUAGAAUUUAGGGUUUCUAGUCUUUAAAACAAAAUAAUGUCUUAAAAUAAAACUAAACGAAAUGAAGCGUAAUAUUUUUUUUUAUUUUUUUUUUGAGACUAAACAACAAUAGUAUCCUAAAAGUUGGGGUAUCACAGAUAGUGGUUCAAGACAUGAAUGAGAAUUUUAAACCUUGAAUUCAUCAAAUUUCCAGCUUUAAGAUUGAAACUGUCCUGUUUUUUACCUGUUUAAUUUGUCCAUGUUAGAGGCCAAAUCUGUGAGGACUCGUAAAAACUAUUAUUUUUAAGCCUAAUUUGUGGCUUAAUAAAUUAUUUAAUUGGAUAUUUGCCUCGAGGAAUAUUUUCUAGUCUUAUUAGACCUAAAUGCAUGGUAAUAUAACUUCGUUAUAUUUUUAAAGUAACUCAUUUCACGAAUUAAUUUCCUGGAGCGCGUUUAGUAAAAAUAGUGAAUAGUGCUUGGAGAUUUUAUCCGCUUGAGAGUACAAUAAGUUUGGAAUAUUGGAGACAUGUACAAUGGACCUAAAUUCGGUAUUUUAAUGUUUAAAUACUCAGGUGAUAGUUAUUAGUACUAUCGUUAUAAGAAUUUCUCGGAAGUUUCGCGUUAUCGCGCUUAAAUUGGAGAUACGCGUUUUCACACGCGCGAUUUAAAUUCAGGAACUUUAGACCCUUAUUUUGGGACGAUUGAGAGUGAAUAAUAUUUAUAUGAAUAUAAGUGCAUUAGAGGUUUAGUGCACCAGUGAAACAAAUUCGAGAGGAAUCGAACACGAAACGCGCGGGAAAAAGAGUUAACAUUUGAAUCAAUGAGAGCCACACAUUUUAGUUUCACAUGGGUGCAUCACACCAGAUCAAAACCCUCCACUUUAUCACCUCAAACAGCCGUGCAACUCUUCUUUUCCUUCCUCAUUCCAGCCGUGCAACUCCAAGGAAAAACAAGACCAAGUUCUUCAUUUUUCCUUCAUCAAAUCUUCAUCAAACCUCUUCCAAUUCACUCCAAAUUCGAACUACACUUAACUAAACAUUUAGAGAUCCCAUUGAGCUAAGAAAAGGAGCUGCUAUCCAUGGUUUUCUUGAGCAUCUAAGGGGCCGAAAUUUCUGCCUUCAUCCUCUAAUCAAGUAGGUGUUAAUCCAACACUUAAAUCUUGCUUUAUGAAGAUCAUCUUACAUGUAUAAGGUAGUAUUUACAUUUGGGUAGCUUGUUUAUGGUGUAAAAUGAAAUGGGUGGGCUCUAUGAACUCCCACCUUUGUCUUGAGGACUGAUCUCAUGCUUGAUGAUGGAUUUAAUGGUGGUUUAGAGCUUAAAUUAGUGGAUUAAUGUUGUAUUGUUGGUAGAAAAUCAUAGGAGGUGCUUGGAGAAAACGUGACUGUUUUACCCCUGCCUUGUCCGACCAUUUUUGUGCACAAUUUUGAGGUUCUAAUGACUUGAUUAUAUUGUUUACAUGUUAUUGUGAGUGUGUACAAAAUUUCAUUGAAAAAUAACAUGAUUUGGUUGGUUAAAUGAGUUGAUUUCCAAAGUUAGCAAAACUGGAAAAUGAAUCCCGUAUUGCCUAGGCAGUCAUCUUGUAUCGGCUAUAACUCUUUACUCCGAUGUCAAAAUUCAGUGCCGUCAGUGGCAUUUGAAACUAGACAUUCCCAGCAUUCCAUUGGUACCAAAUGUACAUUCUAGUUCCACUUGAGUGAGCAACACCAUUCGAUUGAAAAUCACUGUCCUGUUUCGUUUCUCUCCAGGAGACAGGACAGGACUUGUAUCUUCAUGCUCAAAAACGAGCUGUUUGUGAAUGGAAUUUGAAAAUGGUUUCUUCUGAGAAAAUUCAGCUUUAUGAGAGAGCUUUCCAAAGCCAUCAACCACGCCCAAUUCCAAGUUGAAUUGAGUGAGUUGUGGCCAAAGUUUGAAACAGCUACAGUGAUAGAAUUUUCCACUUGGACAGAUUUGUAACUAACAAUGACUUGGGACUUGUUAUUUCGAAAUUCUUGAUGUAAAUCACCUAUCAAAUGUAUUUUGAAUUCUUGCUAGACCUGAUUAUCAUAAACGAGACAUGUUUUAGGUAUCUUCCCUUGGUCAAAAGUUUAGAAAAAGGAAAUUUUCAUACACGAGGCAGCUUUGCCUUAAAAAUUUGGAAACUUGAGUGAUUUCGUUAAGUGACUUUCCGUGCAUAUUUUUCUAUGAAAUUUGACAAAGGAAUAGCCCUUAUAUGGUAGUAUAAUCAUACCAAAUUUGGUGCCAUUUCAAGUCUGUUUAGAUGUUCAAACAAAGUCCCAAAGUUCAUGUUUAAAUCUGGAAAUUCUUGAUCGAGGAGGAAUUUUAGCCAACUUUGAGCUGCUAUAUCUUGGCGCUCAAAACUUCAAUUCUUGUACCGUUUAUUUUGUUUUAAACUUUGAUUGUAGCUCUAAUUGAGUUCUAAAUUUUGGAGGUUAGUUCGUAUUGUAUGAAUUUUUCCGGAUUUUCAAAGAUGGUCAAAAACCAACCCCGAAACUGUCUAAAUGGUCCCAAGCAGCAACUUUGAGUCAAUUUUUGAAUACCUUCUGUUUGGAAUCAUGGAAAAGUAUCUUCUAGGAACUUUUAGCGCUUUUGAAGAAGUUUCCAACGGUAUCAAGCUUUCCAAUUUUGGACCUACAUAGUGCAAGAUACGAUUUUUCUAAAAUUGACACCCAAAGCUGAAAUUUGUCAAUUUCUUAGAAAAUGAGAUUUUGGAAACUUGCCUUCUUUUCUCGAUACCGAUUGAACAUUUUGAACUCGAUUUCAUGGAAAAUAUUAGUCUCUCUCUUUAGACUUUAAAACUUUACUCUUGAGCCUCGAUUAUUAAUAAUUAAGGCCCAAUUAAUGAAUUCCCCUUAGAUUGUAUAACCUUCUUUGAUAAGUAGGGGUUCUAAGUGAUAGUGUAUAAUAGUUGAUGGUUAUUUGCCCAGGCGCUCAAGGGGACCUUCAAGAGGAACUCGAAGUGGACGUCUAGACAUUUGUUUGAGUAUUACUCUCUUGUUGCUAUAGGUGAGUGUUCC